rnacentral:lncRNA from 1 species
AACUACCGGCAAAAUCAGCCAAUUAUUACAUAUAAGCAAACCUAACGUAACAUUAGGGUUAUUACAGACUUAGGGUUUAUGGAGUUCUUCAUUUGCAGGUGCAAGGGUUGCACUUGCAGUCAGAUCCGCACUUGCAGGCAUCAUUCUCGGCAACGAAAGUCUCGCCGGAAGCCUCGUACUGAGAGUUCAUCGCCGGAGCAACGCCGAGGACAAGUGUCUCGGUGGCGGUGUUCUCCAAGUCUGGGUACAUUUUGCAACUGUACAAAAAAAAAAAACAGAGAUCGUUUGUCAAAAAUUAAGAAUAAAUAAAAACAAAGAGAUUUGAUUAAAAUUGUAUAGUAAUCUCAUCGAGAAAUUAGGGUUUUUGAUUUUCCGGGAAUAUUUACAGAAAAAACAAAAGUGAGAGAUCGAGAAAUUACCCGCCGCAACCAUUGCCGCACUUGCAGCCAGAUCCGCAACCACAGCUUCCACCACAGCAAGACAUGUUUUUUCUAGAAAAUUGGAAGAGAUCUCAGAAGAAUUAUGAAGAUGAUCUUAAUUUGCCUUAACAAGCUCUAAACAAAUAAUCAGUGAAUGAAACUUAUCAAUUGAGGAGCUUUGAUAUUUAUAGGCGAAAUUAGAAUUUAUGGACCGUCCAUGUGUCAAACGAUCUUUGUCCACUCUUAUCACCUAAAUAAUCGUUCCUCAAGUAAACAGAAAAUAAAAUUUUCAUAAUUUAGAGUUGGAAAUAAAAGCUUUUCACAUCUAUAAAGAUUUACAAACAUGAAAAAAAAUCUUACAAAAUCUUAGAUUUUAAUCAGGAAAGCAAAGUAACAAUUAUCACAAAUAAAAGUAUAAAUAUAUAUAUUUCCAUUUGACAACUAAGACAUAAAUUUUCUUUCAAUAUCUCCUUUGUUCAUUGAUCUUCACUAAAAGUUUCAUAUUUUCAUUAGUUCUCUCUUUAAUUUACAUAUAUUGAGAUUAGUUUGUACUUUAGAUAUCACUUUUUUCGCUUUUGUUAAAUGGUUUUCACUUUAGAUAUGGCUUUGGUUUAUCCAAUUUGAAAAAAAGUCUUAAAAAACAAGAUGUUGCAAAAGUAAAGUAGUGUUCCAAAGUUCGGCUUCAAUGACUUUUGUCAAAAGGUCCCGUGAAGUGAACAAAAAGAUGAUUCAACUUGUUGAGAUGGGCUCUCAAUUGAAAUAGUGGGCCCAUUAUCGACCUUGUCCGUUCUAUGUGGGUAUUCGAAUCGAAUCUCUCCUUUGUCGAUACAUUUUCCAAAAUUCGUUCUAGGUAAAAAGUAAUGGAAAAAAUAUGAGAACCAUCCAUAUGGGAAUCAUCAUGCAGUGUCGAUAAGUCUAAUUCUAUAAAAAGUAAAAGAGUGUCUAUAUGAAAAAAAGGGAUUGUAUUUUCCUUUCUCGUGAUUCCCUGACAAAGAACUUACGUGAAGAAAACAAAAAUGAUUAAUCAUGUAGUAGUAGUUUUUGGGUUUACACGUUCCGAAGAAUUUAAAUGAACACUUGCAUAGUUAUAUACAAUUUCGAAAAUUGAAUAAAAAACAAAGCGCCCACCGUGGGGCUCGAACCCACGACCACAAGGUUAAGAGCCUUGCGCUCUACCAACUGAGCUAGACGGGCUAUUGUUUACAAUAGGUAGCAACGUAUUAUUUAUAGCAACGUAUUAUUGCACACCACGUUUGGUUACAAGAACAUAACAUGAGAACCUUCUUAUCAAAAAUAUUUACUCCAAACUUUUUUAUCCUUACUCAUGUUAACACAUGAUUUCCUCUACAAACUCUUUUACACACAAUUUAUCACAAAUUAACAACAACAAAAACUCGUACAAACACCAUCCUUUCUCUAUUAUGUACCUUAAACUCCAAGCAAAAAAAAACAGAAAAUCCAAAAAAAAGGAGGAAUAUGAAGAAAUGAGUUCUUGAAUGCCCUAUUAACCUGAUACAAGCAAUUCUUCUAGAAGCUCCUCGAAGAUCAAAUCCUCAACUUCAAUCCCAACGCAUUCACUCUCGAACUGCAAAUCCAUCCAUCCAUCGUCUUUCGACAAAUCCCUACUCAUAAUCUUAUCAAACGAUUGUUGUUCGUCGUAUGGCUUGUACCGCAAGUAACAGCUUAUUCUAACCCAAACCUCUUUCAAAACACUAUACCCCACUGGCAUUGGAUGGAUCUUACAUAGGGAUGAUAAUGGUUUGGGACAAUAAUGGUAAGACCUUUCGUAGAUCUCGAUUAGUACCUCGUUGAUUAGAUCGAAGAGAAGCAAAUGGUUGCAGUUACCGCCUUCUUCUUCGUUUCUUGAACAUUCUGGAUCUUGGAACAUACAUCCUGUUGUUGUUGUCACUUCUUCGUAGACUAAUGGAUCUAACGGCUGAUAAUCUAAUUGCCACAUUGAGAGAGAUUCUGGUGCAUUGAAACCGGAGAUCUCGAGAAUGUCUCUUACAUAGUUGAAUUUCACUUUAUCUUGUGCAUCUAUGUUGAGGACUUCGUCUAAUUGUUUGCUUGUUGAGACAAUCUCUGUAUCUAGAUCUGAGCAACAAACAAACAAAAAAAAAAUUCAAUUUGAUCGAAAACUUUGAUAUGGAGAAAUAAUGGAAUGUUAAAGAUAUAUACAUACCUCGAGAGAUGUCAAAUACAGAAGGAUUUUCAUCAAAACCAACUGUAGAAACGUUAUUAGGACUUUCUUCUGAUGAUUCUUUUAAAGAUCUUGUUUCAGUUUCAGCGUCGACAAGCGUAGAGAUGUCUCUGUCUUGUUCUGUUUCUGCGUCAACUGGUGAAUCUUCAGAAGCACUCAUUGUUUGAUCAAGUGUUUCAUGUUCUGAAGAUUGAGAGUGAUCUUCUGAGAUCUCUGAAAUGUUAUCCAAACCAACUUGUUCUUCCUCGAUUGAUUGGACAGGAAGGUCAUCAAUCUUCAAAGCAUUAAAUUUCAUUUCAGGUAACGAAAGAAUCCUUCCCAAGAAUUUAGGAGCUCUCUUAGAAGGCAAAGCCGAUUCCUCUAACUCCAUCUUUGAUUUCUCUGAAUUACUAUUGUUCUUCGCGUCUCUUUGGAAGCUACACUCAUAGAGCUGAAGAUAUCUGUCUAGCGAUCCACACAGCGACGAUGCUCUAGUUAUUUGCUUCAGCUUCACGCCAUCUGCUUUGAUGCUGCUCUUAGCUGCAGAGUUUCCUUUUAAGUGUGCAAAAAUGUCGUCUCUCAAAUCUUUAGAAAAACCGUACUUUCGAGGUACUUUGUCUAAAACAGCAUCCAUAGUGAUACGGUGUUUCUCAUUCUUGUUCUCGUUAAUCACAUGCUUAAUCUUCUGCCUUAGAUCCUUAAAACGUUUGAUCACAACUUGGUUCUUUCCUCGCUUCCUUGCAUAACCAGAACCAGAUGAAUCUUCAUCAGCCAAUUUCAACAUUGUUUCAUUCAUCUUCUGAAUCCCAUCAGCUCUGUGCUCUGCAGCUAUGGAAGGAGAUGUUGGUUUUUUAUGGAUAUCUCCCACUGAGUCAAACCCAUUAUUAUGAUCCUCUCUGUUGCUUCCAUGAGUAGGAAAGGAUCCAGCUUUAGUCAUUGUUUUUGAGCUAAAAGAUUGUUGGCUCUGGAAAUGCCGGGCUAGAGGAGAACCCGGAUCCUGCAAUACUUUCAACAAGAAGUUUCUAUUCAUGUGUAUCAAAUUAAGAGCAUCAAGACAUGCUUUUGACCGUCUAGGUGAUGUAUCAUCCUCAUUCUCUGAGAAGUCCUUGUUGUGUCUCAUCUUUGGGUCAAACCAAGCUUCAUCAUCGUCGCUCUUGUCCUUUUUCUUGAACUCUUUUUCAUCAAAAUCUGAUUUACUUCCAUCAGUAUCAUCAACUUGAAUGUUGUUCUCUACUCUAAACUCUUCACUGUCACUGUUGCUUGAUUCCUCAGACAUGAGAUAAAGCGGGUUCAAAGAACCAAUCGCGGGUGAAAUGCCAACCGUCUUGUUAAAGACUCGGUUACGAUCAUCACCAUUUGAGGAAUUCUUGUCUGAAGAUUCAACCUCACUCAAUGACUCCUUCUCUUUUGGAUUUGACUGGACAGGAUAAGUACAGCUACGGUGAUGACGGCCUUUCUUCUUAGACUUGUCCUCUAUUACAAGUGCCUUGAUCAAAGCCUUGACAGAUCUUUUGAUUUCAGAAUGUGUUUUUCUUGACCUCUCUUCUGAAUUAAGUUUCUUGGACUUCUCCUCUGAAAUAUGCUUCUUUUUUGGUUUCUCCCCUGAGUUAGAAGACUCUUUGGAUUUUACUGCAGAACUAGGCCUCUUUGGCCUUUGCCCAGAGUCCUGAAGCAAUGAAUCCCAUAGGUGAGGAGGGUUAAUAAAAUUUUAUACUAAACCAAUGUAAGGUAUUCAAGUUUGCAGCAACUUACUACAUCUGUUUUAUCUUCCAGCUUGGUCUUGGGUACGGGAAUACCAUCUGGGAUUGUGUUGUUUGCUUCGCUUUUUGUUCCUAAAAGCAGAAAAUGGAAAAUGUUACAAAAGAUAAUCAAUUAUGCUCAUGAGAUUCCUUAAAUAAAAGCUGUGAAUAUAGGAGCUGAGAACAUCAAACAGAACCAUGGCAUAUACAUAUCUAUUACUAACUAGGCUUCAAGCAAAUCCAACCUAACUAAAAUUGAGACUGAACGGGGACAUGACAAAGACACCAAACAAAGGCACGAGAGAGCACAAGAAUCACGAAAACUGUCUUACCAGGAGAAUUUCUUCUACAAAUAACGGGUCUUUUAUGAGGAAGUCGUUUCUUGAUGUAACGCCAAUGGUUAUGCUUAAGAAUGUCAAAUAAUCCCCACAUGAAUCCAGGGUGGUUUUGGAUUGGGGAGCAAGUAACUUUGUGACGCAAGUUCUUUCCCAUUGGUGGUGAGUUGUGGAAAGAAAAAACACACACUCAAGCUAUAAGUUUAUCAAACCUGAAAACAAAACAUAAGCGAUAAAACACAUCAAUCAAUCUCUUGCAAAAAUUGUUAAAGGAAAACAGAACAAGACUUUCCAAAAGUAUGAGCAAUCUUUUAUGGUCAGAGUCAGAGAUAGUGAAUGUGGACACGAGCAAGAACCGUUCAUAUAUCUAAAAAGUUUGAUCUGAAUUCAUUCCGUAGUAUUUAAAACAGAUUAAGAUACUAAAUCAUAACAUAAAAACGUAUGUACUUAUACGCAUUAUGUAACGUAUAAAGGUCAUCAAUGGCGAUUCCAAACCCAAAACGUUAAUCGCGAUUUUGGCAAUUUACACAAAAUUCGUAAUCGAAUACACCCCAAAUCAUACACAUAAUCUGGACACGGAAUAAAUGUGGUUACCUUGUGGGAUAGGUGAAAUGUUUAUGGAUUUGUGUUGGAACAUCUUCUUCUGGGUUGCCAUAUCCAUGGCGAAAGAGAGAAAGAGGAAGAGACAAGACAGAGCGGAACCAUGCGUGCGUAACAUGAACUUUCAGAAGAAGAAAAAUUGCCGUUUUCACUAAUUUUGGGAUUAUUUAUUUUUGUUUAUAUUAAUUUAACAAUGAAUAAAUGGGCCAUUACUGUGUACUAGAUAGGCCCAUUUAAGGCUUAUGGUCCUUUUUCAGUAGCAACGGAUUUUAAAUUACUUUACUGACAAAGCCCGAGAAAAAGCAAGUCGAAUCUCCAAAUUACACUUCUGUUUUUUAAGACAUGUAAAAAAGAUCCGUUUAAGAAACGAGAAUGUUAGCUCACGCGCCCUUCGGCUCCAAAUUAUUGGAUUCAAUGAUUUUCGACCAAUUUCCGUCGACUGCAAAAAACGGGAGCGUUAUAACAACGCGAUUUAGAUGCGCGUGGGAUAACUAUGAUAUCUUGACUUUUCAUGGGUUCCUUUAUGGGCCGACGAGUGACCAAUUGGCCCAGCUCAUGACAAAUUUUUAGCCCUUUUUUUCAAUAUCUGACACAAUAAUAUUAACCAUUUUCUUUAUCAUAACUUUGUGCCUCUCUAAAUUACAAGGGAUAUCAAGUUAUCAAGUGCAAACUAGUAUUUCUACAAUAAAUGUUCUUUUAUGAGUUACUUGUAUUGUUAUUUUUCUCUCUCUUAUAAAUGUGAAACUGGUAUAUAUCAAUUCUUCGAUAACCGACAUGUAAAAAAAAAAAGGAAUUAACAAAAUUAGUGUUUUGUUGCGUUAUGUGUUGUGUAAUUGCAAAUCUGCUGUGAUUAUCUGUCUAAAGAAAAUAUGUGACAAAUAUGUGAUUUAUUUGCCACUAAUGUCACAUGCAAAUAAUAAAAUUCCUCGCAAAAUUUGUGGGUGUAUUCAAAAUGUGUAGUUUGUAAAGUUAAUGUGGUAGAAUUCGUUUAUCAACGUUAUUUUUUACUCCACGUAAUUUUGAUAAACCAUAACGUAUUUUCUAUUUUCCUUUCCAAGAUGGUACUAUUUGGCUAUUUGCUUCAACCCAUUAUCAAGUCAUUUGACUUUUUGCCAUUAAUACUUUAAUAACUUUCUUUUCUAAUCUCCUACAAAACCACCACACACUUCCACAAAAGUCAACUCCUUCGUAUAAAAAACAUCUGUUUUUUUAAUAGACCAAAACGAUUUUUUAUAUGCUAAUUAUUUUAUUUCUUGUUGGUUUAGUCAAACCGAAUCGGAUAGCGCAUUCCCGAAUCAGAAUGUAACCAAGAUUUGAAUUAUCUUUGGGUUAUAAAUUAAAAAAAUCUAGUCCAACUCCAACCCACACAAAGAAAAAAAAAAUAGGAGUAUAUUACAAUUAAAAGUUUGUUUUUCUGAACUACACUAAAAAAAAAGCUCAGAAAAAGACAUAUAUUAUUAAUUUUUAAAAAAAAUCUGAACUAAAAUCAAACUAAUCUGUAGAUUCGUAUUUAAUUUAAUAGAAAAUCUUUUGGCCUAAACCCAAAAGUAUUUUGUAGUAUAAUUUUACUAAUUCCACUAACAAUAGUAUAAUAAACCAAUCCCGAAAGAAUAAAUUUCUCAAAGUCAACUCUCUCUCUCUCUCUCUCUCUCUCUCUCUUCCACCUAUGUGACUCUGUCUCUUCUUCUUCAUUUGGUUUUCCAACUUCCAACAUACAUUCAACCAAACUCAUUCACAAGCCUCUCCUUUUUAUGAACGACGCCGAUUCUAGUGGCUAGAGAAAACGACAACGUUUAACACUCUAAAUCUCUCAAAUUCUCUUCCGACAAAUGGGAAAUGGAGUCACCACUUUGACCGGCUGCUGUACAGGAACCGUCACCGGAGAAAUUUCCCGGCGAUACGACUUAUCUCUUGUUCACGACGGUCUUGGCCACUCUUUCUGCUACAUACGACCGGAUCUCACCGGAGUAGUUUUACCGUCUUCGGAGAUUCCUCUUCGUUCAGAAACUAUCCAAGAAACCACCACAACUUUCCGUUCAAUCUCCGGUGCAUCGGUCAGCGCAAAUCCUUCCACCGCGCUCUCCGGAGCUCUAUCGUCGGAUUCUGACUGUCCGUACAGCUCCGCCGUCUCCGCCUCCGCAUUCGAGAGCUCCGGUAAUUUCGCCUCUCUACCACUCCAGCCUGUGCCGCGUGGCUCCACGUGGCAAUCAGGUCCGAUUGUUAACGAGUCGGGUCACGGGUCAGCUCCGUUUGAGCGACGAUUCUUAUCGGGUCCGAUAGAAAGCGGGUUGUAUUCGGGUCCGAUCGAAUCAACGAAGAAGGCGGAGAAAGAGAAACCGAAGAAGAACAGAAAAAAAUCAAAAUCGAAGAAGAAUUUUCUCACAUUCAAAACACUAUUCACGAAUCUAAUCUCUAACAACAAGUCUCGCUUGAAGAAGAGUGUGAUCGAGCCGAUCAAUGGUUCUGAUUCAUCAGAUUCCGGUCGUCAUCAUCAUGAACCUGUGAUUACUUCCUCACGAAGCCACGAGAACCCUAAAUCUGAUCUUGAAGAAGAAGAUGAAAAACAGAGCAUCGACUCUGUUUUGGAUGUUCAAUGGGCUCAGGGGAAAGCAGGGGAGGAUCGUGUACACGUGGUUGUCUCUGAAGAAAACGGAUGGGUCUUUGUCGGAAUCUAUGACGGAUUCAGUGGUCCAGAUGCGCCGGAUUAUCUCCUCAACAAUCUUUACACCGCCGUGCAAAAGGAGCUCAAUGGGUUACUUUGGAACGACGAAAAGCUUAGAACUUUUGGAGAAAACGGCGAGACCAAGAUCGGAAAAUGUUCCGAUGAGGCAGAUUCCGAUUCGGGCAAAGAGAAUUGUGCUGUGAUGAACAGUGAUGAUCCAGUUGCUUCCGGUGCAAGAAACCAAGAGAGGAGUGUGAAAUGGAGAUGUGAAUGGGAGAAUAAGUCAAACAACAAGACCAAAUCUGAUAACAAAUGUGAUCAGAAAGGAUCAAAUUCGACGACAACAAACCAUAAAGAUGUUCUUAAAGCUCUUUUACUAGCGCUGAGGAAAACCGAAGACGCGUAUCUAGAGCUAGCUGAUCAAAUGGUUAAAGAGAAUCCAGAAUUAGCAUUGAUGGGUUCUUGUGUUCUCGUGACAUUGAUGAAAGGAGAAGAUGUUUACGUGAUGAAUGUCGGGGAUAGCCGAGCGGUUCUAGGCCGGAAACCUAAUUUAGCCACCGGGAGAAAGAGGCAAAAGGAGUUGGAGAGAAUAAGAGAAGAUAGUUCACUAGAAGAUAAAGAAAUUUUGAUGAAUGGAGCAAUGCGUAAUACUUUGGUUCCUCUACAACUUAACAUGGAACAUAGCACAAGAAUUGAAGAGGUAAACAAAGAGUCAAGAAGUUAUUUUGUUGUUUAAAGUGGACUGAGAAAUUGAUAGGUUUUGUUUUAUGGUGACAGGAAGUGAGAAGAAUCAAGAAGGAACAUCCUGACGAUGAUUGUGCAGUAGAGAAUGAUAGAGUUAAAGGUUAUCUUAAAGUCACUCGUGCAUUUGGAGCUGGCUUUCUCAAACAGGUAAUAACACAUCACUCAAGAUUGUAUACGUUAAAUUAUGUAUCAUUUUUUUGCAUUAUAGGGUUUGCAAUAUGAACCAAAACUUGAGUAUUCUUAUUGUAUUUAAUGUUGAGUUUUAAUCUUUCUUUUUUUCUUUUUCUUUCCCGCAGCCUAAAUGGAACGAUGCACUUUUAGAGAUGUUCAGGAUCGAUUAUAUCGGGACAUCACCAUACAUUACAUGUUCCCCAUCACUAUGUCAUCACAAGCUAACGUCACGUGACAAAUUCCUAAUCCUAUCUUCUGAUGGAUUGUAUGAAUAUUUCUCUAACCAAGAAGCCAUUUUCGAGGUUGAAUCUUUCAUCUCUGCUUUUCCUGAAGGCGAUCCAGCUCAACACUUAAUCCAAGAAGUCCUCCUUCGUGCUGCCAACAAAUUUGGUAAGAAAAUUAAAUAAUUUCAUUCUUCUUAUUAAAAAAAGGCGAAAUUUCUGAAUAUUGUUGAAAUCUGAUAUUUGUUUGUUUUUAUUUAGGUAUGGAUUUUCAUGAAUUGUUGGAGAUACCACAAGGUGAUCGUAGGAGGUAUCAUGAUGAUGUCUCUGUGAUAGUGAUCUCACUUGAAGGAAGAAUAUGGAGAUCAUCAAUGUGAAUAUUAUUGUUUUUUCAUGAAUUUGAAUCUUUUGAAGAACUAAUUACAAUAACUCGGUAUGAUUAUUUUUUUCCGAUUUAAAGUUCUUAUUCUCGAUUUGAUUUUUUUUUCCAUAAUUUUUUCGUAUGUUGUAUCUAUGUUACUUUAUAUAUAGUUUAGUGAAAUUACACCAAAGUGGCAUAUAUAUUUUUAUAUCUAUGGCCUUUCUCGGUUAUAUAUGGAUUUUUUACUCCUUGUAUUUGUAUAUAUCAAAUCCAUAUAUUAGUUUCCAACACGUUAGAAUGUAGAAGAUCUUAAUGUCAAUAUCAUUUGAAAAUAUGUAUACUCUAUAGUUAUAAUUCCGAAUCAGUCCAUCACGAGUUACUAUCGGCGUAAUUUUUUCCAACGAGAUUUUAUACAUGGAACAUAAAAUUGGAAGUCCUUUUCAGAAUUUUUAAGAUUCACACUAUUCAAAAUUCAAAAGCCUGUAAAUCCUAACUUCUAAUGGUUGUCAUUCUUUUAAUCUGAAAAAGUCGAAAGACGCGUUUUGGACAAUUUGUCAAUGGUUAGAUAAAAAUCUUAUUUGACACGUAUUUUAUCAACUUAUUAAUCCAAUUUUUACUCAGAUUUGAAUCUAAAGUCUUUUUUUCCUCCGAGUACCAGUUUUCAGUUCACAAACGACAAUUUUGGGUUUUUUUUUUUUCCUUCUUCUAUGGGAGAUAUAAAAUGUGACUUUUCCAGUAACUUCGAGUUUUUUUUUUUUUUUUAAAUCAUAAUCUAUCUUAAAAUAUUAUCAUUUUUUUUUUGCAACGGCUCUUAAAAUUGUAUCAUAUUUACAUAUGUUAAUCAGUCAAGGUAUAUAAAGGGAAAAACUUUAAAAAUAUUUUUAAAAAGGAAUUUAUGCGAUUAUCAUUGUAGACCUAUUAUUGCUGUCUUAAAUUUAUUUGUUUUAAUAAUGAAAAUAAUCUGAACAGGGUUAAAUUACUUAAAAUUUCAAAGUAUCUUCUCCUGUUUUUCCAAGUUUGGUAAAACUACUAAAACAUAGGAUUUUAGACAUUUGAGUUCCUAACAUUCCGCUUUAAUCUAUUUCUAACAGAUCUCAAAGAGUCGUUCCCAUGACUUUGGAAACUCUCUGCUACAUUGACUCACCUAAAUUCUCACAUAAACAAACCACUUUCAAGAUUAAUGCGACUAUUACUUGCUUUACCAUUAGUCCAUUACAUAUGUUGUUUUAGGAUAAAGAACAGAGACACUUGUCACAUCCCGAAUCCUGCCUAACUAUUGUACUCGAUUUGACAAAAAGAAACCUUAAAACUGAUGUUUUUAUAACAACAGAAAACAUCAUGGACUCUACAGUUUCUGAGGAACCUAACAAUAACAUCAAAAGAGUAUUAAACCUUGUCCCUUACCAUAUAAACCUCUGGACACCAUCUUCAUGGCUCCACUUAAAAGGUUUAAACAAGAACAUUGCCAUUGUAAACAAAUUAAUAGAGACAAAAAUCGUUCCGAUGAGAAGCCAAGUGGCGAAGCCGCUGCUUCUGACACAUGAGUGAAGCAUGAAGAGGUAAAACGGAAUGGUGUAAUAUCUGAACUCGAUCAAUGGCGUAGGAACAAGAACACCGCAUGUAGCUAAGAAAUAGACCAAUACCCAGAUCUUUCUUCGAGCUUUCGCUAUCGAAUUGAGGAAGAAUAAGUCAGGUUAACAAUACAAAAAUAAAGGGUAAAGUAAAAGAGUAUACUACAUGAAACGGUUUUAACAUACCUAAUAAAGUUAGGAUUGAGAACCAUGAAUAGACGUAAACCGGGACUAACAUGUACUUCAUUAACCAAUGCGCAUUGAUAAUUCUUCUCCAUAGGUAGAAAGGAUAAUGGCGAUUAUCGGCGAGAAGAUAUGGAUGAGCCAAGCUACAAAGCAUUUUCAGAAAAUAAAGAGAACUAAGAGUCUGACGUAGAAAAGUCUAUAGGUGUUUUGAGAAGUAUUCAGAAAUCAAACCUGAAAAAGUGUACAGAGACAAAUCCGGCUACCAAAGCCACAAGUGUUAGUAGAAGGCUUAGUGGCCAAUUUCUAUGGAGCUUUUGGAACUGAUUUCUCAGUUGAUUUACUGAGAAGUGUAGCGGAGCAGUGAAAAGAGCAGAAACGAGGCUAAAAUACAUUAUCUGCGCAAAAUGCAGUGAAACUACAUGAGCCUCUUUUGCACCUGUGAAUUUGAAUUGAUGGAUUAGUAAAAUGACAAUGUACACCUAAAUUUACAUUUCAAGUAAAUACAGACAGAACCAAUUCCUAAUUGAAGAGUAAAUAGGUAAACUAAAUCAACAUACCGAGAACUAUACCCCCAUUCCAGAGGAUAAAUAUACCAAACGCCACCACAACAAAGAUAAAAGGGCUAAAAUUGAUCAAAAUCCUCCACUUCAUAUUCCAAGAUGUUGAGAUUACAGCAUAAACAUCAUACAGUAAGCCUGCAUUUUAAACCUUAGAUAUUGUAAGAGAUGAGGAACAUUUAUACUUUUGCCUGAGGAAAGCAAUAAUUUGCCAAACUAUAAACAAAACAUGUAAAGAAGCCUACCUGAAGUAUCCUCUGUUGAAGAAACAGUUUGACCGUGGUUAAAACGGUCUGAAGUGUCUGAGCUGAUAUCAGAUUUUCUUUUUCUAAGAUUUGAUCUGAGAGAUGUUCCUUUCCUAUCACUAGACUGAUGCAAUUCUUGAUUUACUUUUUGUUUUCCUUUUUGCCUAGACGAGUCAAGAGUGAAGUCUAUAACACCUGAGCAAGUAACGAAAAGCAUCCAGACUACAUUUGUUUGUCGGAUAGAUACUGCUAAAGUGCCAAACUGCAAGAACAAAACCGAAAUAAAAUUGCCUACAUAAUUGUAAUUCUAAGUUCGAACAAUAACAAAACUAACUUGCUUCAAAGCACUUACCAAUGCACUCAGCAUAUAUCUUCUUUUCAAACAAGCAAGGUACAUGGCAAGAACUGCGGUUAGAGACGCAACAUCUGUAUAGUAGAGGAAAGUGAAGAACCAAUGGAGAGGGUAAAGCGACAUGACUAAGGCCAUAAAAGUCGCCUUUCUAUCACUGAGAUUCGGCCCCAAGAAUCUGAUUAUCACAUACACUAAAACACCACACAAUACUGCAAAAACAGCAUUUGUAGACCGCAGGACAGAUGUCGAACAAGCUUCUGGAAAGGACUGAGUAGUAUUUUUCAUCAACAACAUUCCUGGAAACAAACUAGCAACAUGUGCUAGUGAAAGAUAGUACCUACAAAAAUUGCAUGUAUACCAACAUUUUCAAAUUCAAAAGAAGUAGUAACAACACAAAUUGGCAUCAAAACACAUUGAAAAAUCCAGACUUUAAAGGUAACUAAUUGAGAAUCUACGUAAGAAGAGAGUAUUACAAUCCAGGUGGGGUAGUGAUCAUUGGAUCCCAACUCCUAAAAUUCCCAUUGCAGUAUUGCUGAGCUUGAGGAACAUGAAAUAUCUCGUCCUGCAAAAUUCAACAGUAAUCAAAACAAAUCAGAGAGAUAGAGAGUGAUUCGCAGAUUCUAUUGAGAACCCAAGUUCUAAAAAGGGGGUUUUUUACCAUGUAGGGUUCAGGGACAAUGUGAUUGACGAUAAUCGACAUUGGAUCACCCACAAGCUCGUGAUCGCUGCAACGGUUAAUUUCCCCAUAUUUCCUCUACGAAAAGAAACCAAUCAGAUCUGGGUGAUUAUUACAUUCGCGGAUCAAUCAUGGGUUUUCGUGCCCUAACGAACAACACAAUGAAAAAUCGGAUUUUGCCGGGAAAUUGAGUGAGCUGAAAGAAGACGGUGAGAUUUCAUCGGAGAAGAAAACUCGGGAGGAGUCAAAUCGAAGUCAACGUUUUCACUUUUCAAGAUUAAAAUUGGGCUUUUACCAAAGCCCAAUUCAGUUGUGAGGAGAAAGCCCUGUAUUUAAUAUAAAUUUUUAAUUCCCAGUUCUUUUAAAGUAGAUAUUCGUUUAGACCUCUAUGUUUUUAUACAAAUCUUGUUAGACCCAAACUUUUUUUUAGUGAGAAAUAAAACGAAGAGAAGUUCAUAACUAAAGUUAUUCGGAUUUUUUUUUAGGUAAAGGAAUUUCUUCGCUUUAUUAUUUUGUCAAUUUCACUAGUCAUGUUAAGUAGAGAUCAAUAAUCACUAUAUAAUUGAUAAGCCAUACACAGCUGUGUGUGUCUUUCUUUAUUUGGUAAUAAUGCCCAGCUGAUAUCGAUAUGACUCUGAAUGAGUUUGAAUUAUUUUCUAACGAAAAAGAAUUAUCCCCAUAUUAUUAUUUGUUUCACAUAUUCCACCUUUUUUUAAGUUAAUAAAACAUAGGAGUAUUAAGUUUUCUAGUUCGACAAUAUUUCACUUCUUAUUUAUUAAGAAUUUAAAAUUUAGUUAUCAAGUUGUUUUCUGUUUUACUCCUCAAAUUUAACCGUAUACAAUUGAAUUCAAACUCCUUGCAAGUUGCAGCUAGCAAACCCAUAAUACAGAACCAAAAAAUUGCAUCUGCGACUUGCGAUGCAAAAUUCCAUAAUUCAUGUAAAUAAUGUAAACUCCAUGAACUUUUCUAUAUGUAUAUUGUUUUUUUCUUCUAAAUGAGACCUUUAUUAAUUAUUAGAGGAACAAGACUAAGCAUGUCCUACACAAAUAGACAACAAAGCUGUCUCGUGUCCUUAGGAAUAUACACUGCAAAGCGAUUUUUAUUAAAAGAUGUGGGAAUCACAAAUAAAGCUUUAUAAGAUAAUGAAAGCAUUCAAUUAGAAUCUCUGGACCCAGAUCCCAACCUUUAUCUAAUUUACUACUAUAUGUUUUGACUUUAGUUUAUACUAUUAGUACUUUGUUUAAGGUAAACUCCGUAGAUAAGCUGUUUUCUCUUUUGUUUACAAGAGGGCAAAUAAAUUAUAAAACUGCAUAAAAUUAUCGUGAAAAACAUAUAUAAUCGUUGAUCCUGAAAAUAUGAUGGUUCAUAACGUGUAAAAUAAUUAAAAUAUUUGACUGGACUAUCAAUUCAUGAACAUCACACAAUUUGUUUUUUUUUUCAGACUUUCACAGUGUAGUUUCCUCAAGAUACAGUGUGUAGUUUCCUCAAGAUACAGUGUGUAGUUUCCUCAAGAUCUUACUUAGAGUGAUUAAUUAGAGGGGGUUUAAAAUAAGAUUUUAACUAAAUUCAGUGAGGUGAAUAAUAGUUGUUACUGAUGAUGAUCCUUAGAUAGAGUGGGUAAAACCAAGGAAAAUAAAUGGUCCCAAAAUUUGCAUGUGGGAUUUGAUUCAUAUAUGUCUAAGCAGCAUCGUUUGAUGUCAUAAAGUAUCUCAUUUUUUUUUAUCUCUCCAUGUGUAAAAAGCACACCACCUUUGCUAUAUAAAAAGAGAGAAACCACCCUCUUUGAAUUCUAUAUAUACACAUAUAGAUAAUGUUACUUGAUGACGUUAACACUCGAGUUGGAUAUUUGUAACUCGAAGACAAAAAAAAACUGUAUUAAUAUAAUUUGUAAUCAGUAGUAUCAAUUAAAUGGAAACCCGAUCAACAACUUCUUAAUGAUACUACAAAACUAUGGAAAUGACCAAUAUAUAUUUAUUUAGAAUAUAAUUAGCUUAUAAAGUCUUUCUCUUUUCUUUUUCUUUUCUUUUUUGUUAAAAGCUAUCAUAGAAAGUUUUAUUUUAACUUGUUAGUAUAUGCUUUGUAAGAGUUUAUGAAUUUCGAUUGUACGAUCUUGUUAUCCUUUUCAGAUUAUUAAAAUGACCAAUGCAUAAACAUGUUAUUUGAUCAUGUUUGCAACUUUCUCUCGUGACUUUUGAUAGUACUAUAUAUAUAUACACAUUUAUGAAAAUAUAAAUUUUGUACUUUGAGAGAGAUUUUUUUUCUCCUAAUUAAUUUUCUGACCCAAUAAUAUGUAUAAUUUAUUAAGCUAAAGAAAGUAAAUAACAAAACGUGAAAGAUGGAGGACAUGAUGAGCACCCAUGUGCGUAUAGUCAUCGCACCACAUGCCUAGUCGCCAAUCUUUCAUUAUCCUUUGCUAACCUUUUAAUUUACUCACUUAAUCCAUACUUUAAUCCCCUAAUUUAAUAUCAUUACUUACAUCUUUAUAAUUUCACAAUUUGUUAAUUUGGACUUUGGAGGAUGGUUCUGGUAGGUGGUCGUCGUUUAGAGACGUAUGGCAAGUUUACCAAAUCUAAAGUGGUUCACAUUUUACGGCUGAGGAAUCCAAAGUUAAAAAUUUCCACGAGUAUCUCAUAUAUAGAUUAAUUUAUAAAGAACAUCAAUAUUUCAAAUGUUUAUGAUAAUAAUAUCAAGUAAAAUAGCAACGGUAAUUAAUGAUGGAUAAAUACAAAUUUUAGAACAGUACUGUGUAUUGUUAUUGGUUUUGAACAUGAAAAGGUUGCGUCUGAACUUUGGAGAUCUCAUUGUUAGGGAUAUAUUUAGCAAGUAGUCAUAGGCAUACCCCAAACUAUUGCUGCAUUUAAUGGUAAUCUUAUGUUUUGUUUUCUACUCCUAUAUAUCACAAAACAGUAAAAUAGUAAAUUAAAAAUAAUUCGAUACAUGUAAGAAGUUUAGCUUAUAAACAUUAUUAUUCUUAUUUAAAAUAAAUAAGAAUCCUUCAAAAGUAGUAUCAUUAGCUUGUGCAAAUUAGUAUCAUUAAUUCAGUUUAUAUUUUAAAUCUAAAAAGUAACAUCUUACAACGUUUUUUAGAGUAAAUUAAACAUCACUUUCUUUAGAGAGGCCGUUAUGCAAAUUUUUUUCCGAGAAAUAUAAGCAAGAAAAAAAGAUUAUUUUUUUCGUGUUUGAUAAGGAAAUUAAGAAACAAUGACAAGUAUCAACAAAAUUGAUUAGUGAGAAGUCAAUUAUUAGUUGGUGAUUCAUUACUUGCGUGCACGAUAAAGGAAGCAUCUGAGAAAUUUAUUUUGUCACGAUAUAAGACAAAUAUUAUCAUAUACGAAACCGUAUAUGAAGAUUGAAGAUUGAAGAAACAUGAGAAACUAAAACAUAGAAAUUUCAAAAAAAAAAAAUACCGCGAGGUCCCAUGCAAAGCAAAGGCACGUGCGUCUGAUUUGCAUCAAAGUUUGUGAACAAAUUUUUUUACCUUUUCGUUUUUCUUCGAUGUGGUUCAUUUUCCAUUUAAUAAGCAAAAAUUUGUAAACAUAUAAGAAUGCAAAUGCGUCAAGUAGUAAAGAAAGCACGGAUGUUUUUGAAUCGCCAAAAUCGUUAUUCUGAAAGUCAACAAGACUAAUCAAAUCAUCGAGAAAAUUAAUAAAAAUUAUUUCAUUUACAUGAAAGUAAAAAGUAAUUUAGUUUUUUUCAAUAAAUAAAAAAUAUAGUCUUUAUGUAUAUAUAUAUAUAUAUAUAUACUGUAUAUAUAUUCUUUUGCAUGCAUACAUAUUCUGAUAUUCACAUUAUGAUUAGUUUGUAAACAGUGUUAAAACGGCAUUGUAAAUUGUUGUUAUAAGUAGUUUAAAAUCAUAUAUUAAAAAGGGCAUUCUCAUAGUUUUAACAUCGAAUGUUUUGGCUCUAGAAAAUUAUUUUUUGGUUUGCAAAUAGUGUUGGAUCAUAUAUUUGAUUUUCUUUUUCUAGGUUUUUAUAGCUUACUGCUAAAUUUCACAUAGCAAUAGUAUACAUUAUACAAUGUAUAUAAUGAGCCUAUAAUAAAACAAAUCAAAUAAAUAAACAUUUUAUGUAAUCCCGCCACUUGGGAGACAGAUCACUAGUUAGUUGAAAUGGAGGCUUUCAAGCUUCGGAUCCAACGCACGUAAUCUCUCUCUGUCUCUCUCUUUUUCUUUCUCUCUUCUUCUCUCUUUCUCUCUCUAAAACUUGUCUAAUGGCAGAGAUCUGCUGCGUCAAAGAGAUCCAAGAAGAAGACGUAGAGAAGAUCCGAUUACCGACCCGACCCGAAUUAGACAUCCCUGACCCUGAUCACGAAGAUCCAACGGUCAACGAAGAAGAUGGGUGCAAGACUCCAACAUCGUCCGAUCACAAGAUUCCGGAGGUGAAGUAUACGUUAUGUCCACCGGCUCCGAGAAAACCGAAACCGAACCGGUCGUCAUGUACGAAACGGAAAUUAACGCCGGUUAAUGUUGUUAACCGUAUACCGAUUGAUCUGAGCCGUGAGAUCGAGAUGUUCUUCGAGGAUUUGGACCGUAGGAUCAAGAAGUCCCGGAAACAAUAAGAUUAUUGCUUUAAUUGGUAAUGAUCGUUCAUUUCUAAUUCAUGACUGUGUGGUGGUAAUUUGAUCCUUUGAAUUUUUCUUCAUUUUUUUGUUUGUUUUUCAUUUUCUGUAUAAUUAAUUAGCUAAUAACAAUAAGAAAAUUUAUGUAUCAUUUAAUUUGGAAUUAUACAACUGAAACAAAGUCAAAGCUCACAUUAUAAUUUCUUCUUUUCAAUUUCAACAUUAACUUACGUUUUCAAUGCAUAUGUAUUAAUUGUCUUUUCUGAUUUUGAUAUGUUUGAUUUUUGGAGUAGAGCAAAUUUGUAAAUGUAAUUAGCCCAAAAAACAGCUUGAGGGUAAAUUUAGUUUGAAUCAUGUAAUUUUCAUUUGGCCAGUUUCAAAUUUUCAUUAUAUUAUUAUGACAUAUUUAAUUUAUUUUCCUUUGAAAAUAGUAUAUUUAAGAAAAUAUACUCCUUCUGGGUCUUAAGCUCACUAUGAAGAAGGUAGUCUUAAUAUUACACAAAUAUAUUUCAUAUAGAAGUAAUUAUAUUUAUUUACCUGAUUAGUCUUAAUACAAUAAAGGCUCAAUUUUCCUAUAUCACACAAAUCUAUACUAUCACAUCACUAGAAAAACUAUACCUGAUCAGUGACAAUAAUAGAUUUAACAAACCUAACUAAGAUUUGACAAGAAAAAAUAAACUAAAGAAUUUCAGUGGAAGCAAACAUCCUUCGUAAUGGAUCAUGCUUCCUGCUUUGGGUACACCUUGUUAUGAUCGAUGGAUAGAUUAAUAUUUUAUACACCUCUAUUAUGUGUGUGCCAUUGUGAUGUAUACAGGGUUAAAAUGCACAUCAAUCAAGGAGAAUAUCGUUAAAUUCCAUAAAUUUUCAGAAUUUAUUAGAUACAUAUAUUCUUCUACUUUCAUGUGUGGUAUACUGAUAAACUAUUCCUGUAACGGAGCUGACCGCAAUAAUAAUUUAUUAACAUUACUUAAAUAUAAAAAUAAAUAAAUAAUAAUCUCUUUUAUUAGCUCUUAAUCUAAAACACAAGAGUAAGUUACUCUAGUUGACACAUACAAAAUUUAUUUUCUCUUUAAUUUGAAAUGCAACCACUUAGGCAAAAUACUUUCUAAAUAUCAUAAGCAUAUCUUUUACUCAUGUACACAUUACUUUAUAAAUUAGAAAUUUUUUGAUUUUGUGUUAUUCUCAACAUUAAUCUUAAAAUUAAUUUCAAAACCAUUUAAUAUCAUGUAAUAAAAAUAUGCCCCUGCCAUAGUACUAGUUUAUGUAAUAUUGUGUGCUGGGUUUAGCGAUGGCGUGUUGUUUAAUGUAUCCCAUUGCAAUGAAUCGAUGAUGUUUUAUAUUUUUUGCUUUCAAGCUUUUCUAACUUAGGGAUUGAAAAUAAUGGUUCUUCCACGCAAAGCAGCAUAUCAAAAGAUCGGAUGACGACUCAGCAGAAAUUGGCAAAUGACGAUGAAUAUAAUCUCCCGUUAACUUUUUGAAAAACUAGUGUCAUAUUAUCUAGUAUCUACGGUACUCCGAUUAUGCAAACACUUACAAUUAAAAUUAAAUUUUAUAUAUAUUCAUACGAAGAAAAUAUAACGUACUAACAACAUUAUAUAUAGAACUAGUUAAGACCCAAUUCCACAAGCUUAGUUUCUCUCUAGUAAAACAAAAAACAGUUUGAAAUCAGAGGAACCAUGCUAGACAUUUUGGACAACACAAGAGUCGCGGAGACCGGAGAUUCUCACUACUGGUACUGGAUGCUUGGUCUGGUUUUCCUGAUUUUCUUUUUAAUCAUCGUGGUUACCCUCGUAAGAAAUUGGUGUGGUGGUCGUCGACACAGGAAGGUUCAUCCUAUGACUGAUGACAAGAAAUGCAAAUGGGUAAUGUGAAUUAGACGUAUAGUUUUUAUAUUUACUUAUAAAUAAAAACAUUAUCGUCAUUAAAACCAUCAGUAUAUAUAUAUAUAUAUAUAUAUAUAUAUAUAUAUAUAUAUAUAUAUGUAUCUCCUAUCUCUUUCGUAACCUCUGAAGUGAAGCUGUGAAGGAAUCAUGAACAAAAUAAAGCGUCUUUUUUUUUUUUGUCUUUUUUGAUAAAAUGUAUGGAAAUCUUGGUCUACUCAAGAAAGGUUUAUACUUUAUAGUAUAGCUCAAUGAUGUAAUAAGAUAUUGAAGUUAUAAGAAUCUAUAUUUCGUCGUUAAUCUUUCAAGAACUAUUUGGGCUUGAAGAACAUAUAUAUAAUGAUCAGUGGGCCGACAUUUUCAUAUAUUAUUAGGAAUGUGGCCUAACUUAACCCAAAAGCUAGCUCAAGAGUUAAGGAUUGCCACAUCCUUUAUAUAUUACCCAAAGAUCUUAAUCCUAAGCAAUGUGGGACAUUCUAAUAGGUCUCCUCGAGAUGUGGGUGGGAAACGGUCCAACGGGAAACAGCCCAAGCCCAACAUCUCGGAAAUACAACAAGACAUGCCACUUAUAUGGGCCACAUAGGUGGGAAACCAUUUGUGUGGGAAUUUGCUUGUUGGGCCAACCUUGGGCUCUGAUACCAUAUUAGGAAUGUGGCCUAACUUAACCCAAAAGCUAGCUCAAGAGUUCAGAAUUGCCACAUCCUUUAUAUAUUACCCAAAGAUCUUAAUCCCAAGCAAUGUGGGACAUUCUAAUACAUAUACUUCUUGAAUUAUUAUAUAGAAUUCGGCAACAUAAAUAGUUUCGGAAAAGUUUGGAGUGAUCGAAAUACGUCUUUCCAAGCUGAAUUAUACUAGUGAUCAAGCUUGAGAGUUGAGACCAUCAGAUUGAAUCAAGCUGGCCCAAGAUUGGUCUAAAAAGCUCUCUCAUCUUCUCUCUUGCAAGUCUUUCCUCGCUCGAUCAAUCAAGCUGGCCCAAGAUUGGUCUAAAAAGUUCUCUAUCAAUUUUUUUUUUUUUUCUGAAUGAAGGACAGUAUCGACAGUUUAUUAAUUUAUUUCACUGAAUAAAAUGUACACCCUUUUAGACAAAAAAAUUUUUUUUGGUGUUUUCAUCAUUUUUAAUAUAUUAAAUUCAUGGUAAUGAAAAAUUAAAAAAAAAAAGAAAGUGUGUUAAGGACUUUUGUUAACACGCUUUCUUUUGUCGUCACAACACACUUAUUUAAAAAUGGAAAAUGGUAAAGAUUCGGAGUAUCCCACUAAAAGGAUAAGUAAUUUAAAAGUUAGAAAAUAUAUUUUAACGAAUUAGUAUAUCACAUAACGGAAAUUGAAACUAAGCAGUGCGGUUAAAUACUUAAAUCAAUGUUCCAAAGUCGUGAUAUAGGAGGAAAAUUUAGUUGAUGGAAGUAGUCAAGUAGAAGUACGUAACUUCUUAUAAGUUUUACAGAAACAAACUUGGAUAUAUAUUCAUAUUUUCAUAUAUUAGUAUCUGAGAUAAAUUUAGCUAUAAUGCUCAUUUAUUAACACUUUUUAAUUAUAUAAUUAUAUUUCCAGUCUAGAUAGCCUUACGUUCACUAUCUUUUUUCUUAUAAAAAAAAAAGACACCCUUAAGAUUGAAUUGAGGAAGCAAUACAUAGUUGGUUGUAUACACAAACGAUAAACAUAUAUGUUGAAUCAUUGGUGAACAUAAAACAACUAGUCCAAUAAUUUAUUUAUUAUUUCUUAUAAUAACCAAGCACAUAAUUUCUUUUGUAAUGUUAGAUUCAACAAGAAUCUCCUCCCUCUCCACCAAACAGAAACAAAUGUUCUUUUCCCUUUCUCAAUCCAUAACAUUUGUCAUUGUCUAAUAAAUAUUCUAAUUUAGAUCUUUUACUUCUCUUGAACUUGUAACUAGAAUCAAUGACGAGAAGGUCUCGAACGCGUGCUGACGCCAUAUCAUCUUUAUCCUUUUCUGGUCGAUGACCAUUACCCAUUGGUGGACUAUUGCCGGAAGGAGAAGUCUUGACUACUCCUCCAACUCCAACAAUAUUCACACCAUCACUUAUCACAUCAAAUAGUUCCUUUGGCCAAUAACCAAUGUGUAUAUCUUUUCCUACGUUUUUUAUAUCUGAUACCCACCAAUUUCCUGUUUUUUUAUCCUUUAAUAGAUAAUUAAAAAAUACAAAUGUUAGAUUUGAUAUAUAUUAAAAACACACAGAGACACAUAAAACUAUUUAGUAAAGCGAAGAAAAAUAUGAGUUACCUGUUGAAAAUUAGAACCAAUGUUUCUUUUACCUUCAGGAGCUUCAGGUAAAGGCCCACUUAUAAGAUCUCUUUUUGACACUUGAACAAAACCAGGACAUACUGUAUUAUAACACCCUGUCCCAUUGGCACCCUAUCAUUAACAAUUCAUAUAGAUUAAUAGAAUUCUUGUGACAAAAUAUAGUUUAGCAGUAACUGUAAAUUUCUAAAAGAAGUACAUGAUUGUUAAAUAACAGUAAGGAAAAACAUAUGGCACUAAAAAUAACUAGCUAAAUCAAAAGAUUUGCCCUUAAAUUUCAUAUAUAAUUUGUUUUGAUGGUGACCAUAGAUUUAUGGAUAUUCAUUCCAUAGUUUCUAUAAGUUAUAGCUUAUAAUAUAGUAUUCUUCCUCUAUCAUUAGGAUUGGAACUCAGGAUCCCAUGGUAUUGCUCUUCCCCACGAUCUCUCUAGUACAAAUCUACCAAUACUAGGUGCUUUAGAGUAGAUUUUGAAAUUUGGUUUGUAUUAAGGUGGUAAAGAGUGAAAUGUUUAAUAGAUUUACCUUAAAAUAUCCAUAACCCCAUACGCGUCCAUCACCAAAUAAACUUGGAUUUAUCUGAGUCAAAUUAAGACAUUUUAUUCUUAAAAUCAUAUGAUUUAUCAAAAAAUAAUUAUAUAAAAAAUAUAUAUAUUAUAAACAGUAACUUACCAUCCAACCGGUUUCAAUAAAAUUAUCUAUGUUGUUUACUCGACUGCCAGCAUAUACGUGAGCAUAUGAAACUUGGUCCCGACUAACGUUUAAGUCAUGUACACUUAUAUAAGAUGCUGUACCAUAGAAAGGACUCUGACCGUUGCCUUUCAAUCUAACUCCGGCAAACUUGAAAUUCCAAAAUUUUUAAUAGGCUUAAAAAUGUGUAACUAAAGUAACUGAAAGUAGAAUAAUAAAGAUAUAAUUGAGUGCUUACAUGUAUUCCAUGACUUUGCAUUGUGAACGGAUUGAAAUGCUUUUCUCCAAAAUAUUGGGCAUUUGCAACAUACUCUUUUGUGUGUCUCAAUAUAGGAACUGUUCCGUUUGGACAAUCGAUGAUUGUUUUGAAUAUUUUGCGUUCGACUUGAUUUUUUGAUUUAGGGAUUAGAAAAGAUGGUUCCAUCUACAUUAGUCACAUAUAUAUAUUGUCACACGAUAGAUUGGUGAUGUGAGAGAUUAAAUCAUAUUUGGUUAUAAAAAGCUACAAUUAACUGUUGAGAAAAGAAAAGAUACAAUUAAGUUUUGUAUGAUAAAUUUUAGAUGAAAAAAAUACCUGAAUUUUGUGAUUUUUGAGUAGUGGAUGAUUUAGCGAAGGUUGUUUGUAAAUAUCCACACAAUCAUAUAUCAUCUUCUCAUUUAACUAUGAAAAUAAUGUAUGAGAUCGAUAUAUAUCUCAAUCUCAUAAUUUACGUAUAAAAGAUCAAAAUAAUGAUUAAUAUUAUAUACAUUAAUACAUAUUUUAACUUACCUUGAUAGAUUUCCAACUUUUAGUAGUUUCUCGGGAUUGCACAAAAGAGAAUGAGACUAGAAGUGCAAAGAGUUUGAGAAUGAAAUCCAUGGGUUACAGAUCAAUAUUUUGGAAGUUUUUUUAGUAGUAUUUUUUGUUAUACCUAUAUAUUUGAGAUCAGACACAACACUAGUAUUUAUAAUAACUAGAGAUUUUUAACCGUGGUUUGGGUUUAUAUACAUAAAAAGGUUUUUGUUAAUUUUCUAUUGGUAAACUUUAAUUUUUAAUUAAAAAAAUUAUUACUAUACACUUUAAUUGUGUUUAGUGUGUUCAGAUUUCAUAUAACUUUUUCCUCUUUUUAUUGGUCUACUCUGAUUUGUUUUUUUAAUACAUGUAUAUUCGUAUUUGGUCCACUUAGGUUUGACACGUGGCGAGUUAUAAACCGUCAGAUUAUGGGAUAUCAAAAGUCACACUUGAUUAAGAAUGGCAGGGAUCCCUUGAUUCUCUCCUUUCCACAACUCUCCCUCCAAAACAAAAAUCAUCACAACGAGAGAAAACUUUGAAAUCCAAAAAAAAAAAAGACGAGAAAUUUGAAUUUAUUGGGAAACAAAAAGAAGAAGAUCUGGAAGUUUCUAUGAACAGUAAUGGCGAAUCAAGGCGGCGAAAACGGGAAAUUGGAACGGAAGAAGACGAUGACGAUGAAUUGGGCGGGGUUAGGCGAGGUUGAAGACGACGACGAUCAUUUUUUCGAUAGCUCUAAUCGUAUCUCCACCGUUGUGCCUUUGGAUUUAGCAUCAUCUUCAGAUGAGGAAGAAGGUGAGUUUGAUGAUUGCCGGAUCUCGUUUUCUUCUAACGUAUCGUCCUCCUCUCGCGCUGCUCCUACGCCGGAUAUGUCGCCGGAUUAUGAUAUUUGGAUGUCGGCGCCGGGAUCUAUCACGGAGCGUCGUCGUCGGCUUCUUAAUGGAAUGGGACUUGAAUCUAAGAAGACUAUGCUCGGAGCUAUCUCGAUUCAACGCGUGAGUGAACCUGUUGCGGCGGCGGGUGUGUGCUCUGGUUCUCGCGUUGCGGAAGCGAAGGUGGAGGAGUCAGAUCAUAAUUCUCCGGUGAAUCAACGAGUUCAUCGAUCUCCGUCGAUGUCGGUUUUGCUUGUACGGUCUAGAUCUGAUUCCGAUAUCGAAGCGUCUUCUGCUGAGAAAAAGAGGAAAGAAGAGAUGUUAGGGAAAACGUCGAAAUCGCGAUUAACUAGAACCGCGUCUGCGAUUGGAGCUCCGUGUGCGAGAAUUUGUCCCUACUUCACCCAAACGCAAGCCUCGCCGCCGGACGCACCAAACGGUCAUCAGUCUCAAGGCCAACGUAGUGGUGCGUUGCUCUCUUCGGUAGUUUCCAAUACUCGUUUUAGUGCUUUUUUCUUGAUCAAGAAUCUUGACACUGGGAAAGAGUUCAUUGUGAAGGAGUAUGGUGAGAAUGGAAUGUGGAAUCGGCUUAGUGAUUUGCAAACUGGUAAGCAAUUGACAAUGGAAGAAUUUGAGAAAAGUGUUGGCUAUUCAUCUGUUGUUAAGGAUCUUAUGAGACGAGAGAACGCGAAUUCGACGAUGGAUUUUAGGAAAUUCAAUUCGUAUGUGUCAAAGAGUUUGAGAGUAAGUAAGAAGAGAGGAGCUGCUUUGUUAAAGAACAUAAAGGACGUUGCUCAUUCUAUGAGCUCUUCUAAGGUUUCAGAGAAAGAGAAGGAUUCAACUGGUAGUGGUACAAGUAGUCCAAAAGUAGCGGAGAAGAACAAUGAGCAGGCAAAUCAAUGGGUGAAAGUGAGGCAUUCAGGGAAGUCUCAUAAAGAUUUAAGUGCUUUGCAUAUGUGUCAAGAGAUUCAAGCUCAUCAAGGAGGUAUUUGGACUAUGAAAUUUAGUCCAGAUGCACAUUUAUUAGCAAGUGCAGGGGAGGAUUGUGCAAUUCAUGUGUGGGAGGUUCAAGAAUGUGAAAUCAUGUCAAUGAGUGAAGGGAGCUUGACACCGAUUCAUCCUUCAAUGUCUGGUUCCACGGAUAAAUCGUCUACCGAAUGUGAUGCUGCAGAAGUGUCACAGGAUAAGAAGAAAAAAGGGAAAACUUCAACGAGUAAAAAAGGAAACCAGAUACCAGAUUAUGUCCACGCGCCUGAAACUGUGUUCUCAUUGUCAGAUAAACCAAUUUGCUCUUUCACUGGUCACUUGGAUGAUGUUCUGGACUUAUCCUGGUCUCGGUCACAGGUUAGUUUACGGUCAUUUUUUGCCAACAUUAAUGAAAGCAGCCAUGAAUUUCUAUUGACAUAGUUAAUCAUUGGUUGCCAUAUAUACACAGCUAUUGCUCUCAUCUUCCAUGGACAAAACUGUGCGGUUGUGGGAUAUUGAAACUCAAAGUUGUCUAAAACUAUUUGCCCACAAUGACUAUGGUAAGAAAGGAAAUAUAAUUCAAUACUCAUAUUCCUUAAAUUUCAUAUGGUUUUGGGAAAUUCAUGUCUUCCUCUAUGGUUUUUAGUUACUUGUGUACAAUUCAAUCCACUGGAUGAAGAUUACUUCAUCAGUGGCUCCCUUGAUGCCAAGAUCCGUAUAUGGAACAUAUCAAACCGUCAAGUCGUUGAGUGGAAUGAUCUAAAGGAAAUGGUUACCGCGGUUUGUUAUACUCCUGAUGGUCAGGUACAUAAUUCUCCUGAACUGUCACCAGCAUAUACUUGCAUUAACGAGCUGGUAUUGAUAUCUCUAUGCUCUUUGGUAGGCUGCAUUUGUUGGUUCAAUUAAUGGGAAUUGCCGGCUUUACAGUGCAGAGGGUAUAUUUGCUAAAGACUCAUUCUAUUUUGAAAACCAUGUCUAUUAACCUUUAAUUCGUCAUAAAGUUAAUAGACUCAUUCUAAACUUUUUCUCUAAUGAUUGAUCAGAUUGCAAGUUGGAACAAACAAACCAGAUAGAUCUGCAAAACAAAAAGAAAGCUCAAGCUAAAAAGAUCACAGCCUUCCAGGUUUCAUUCUUUUUUUUGAAAACGUGUACAUUGUUGUUUUUUUGCCUCUAGAAGAUUCUUACUUACCAUUGAGUUUGCAUAUAACAGUUUUCUCCAAUUAAUCCAUCAGAAGUGCUUGUAACUUCCGCUGAUUCACGCAUUCGGAUUCUCGACGGUACUGAACUUGUUCAAAAAUUCAGAGGUAUGUAACUGAAACAACUCCAUUUGCUUCUUCGUUCCAUUUCACAAACUAACAUUUCUAAAUCUCCUAUUGAUACAUAAACCAGGCUUCAAAAACAUUAAUAGUCAAAUGACAGCAUCUUACACAGUAGAUGCUAAGCACAUUGUCUGCGCAAGCGAAGACUCACAGGUUUACGUGUGGAAACACGAGGAGCCACGACUAGGAAUCACCGGUAGAAAAACCGUCACCAUGUGUACUUCUUACGAAACCUUCCCGUGCAAAGAUGUUUCAGUGGCAAUCCCGUGGAACGGCGUUGUAAAAGGCGAACCACCAUCCACACAAACUCAGUCUAAAAGAAACCCAAAGAAAACUUCAACUACUACUACAACUACCCCGGAAAACGCGACCACGAGUAAAAAAUCAGGCCUCCCACCGUUACCUAAGAAAAACAAUGACGGCACCGCAGAUGGAGCAACAGAACAACAUCAAGAUGAUGAUCCCGCAACGCAGAUUCCGCAAAACGAAUCAGAGAACAACACAGGAGAGUCACUAAAGCAUGGGGAUUCACCUUCUAUAUCAAUCUCCUCUCGGAUUUCUUCUUGGUCUUGGUUUGAUAGUAGUGGCAGUCAUGGAACACAUUCAGUUCAGCCAACAGCUUGGGGAAUGGUGAUCGUUACAGCCACGAUCAAGGGCCAAAUCCGAGCUUACCAAAAUUUCGGAUUGCCCCGCAGGGUUGGUCGUCAAGGCUCUCUGUUUUGACACAACCGCGCUCAAUUAUUGUACAUAUAUACGGUGUAUUAUGUAUAGUUCUCAUGUAUUCAUGUAUAGUCAUACUGAGUUUAAUUUAAUUUGUAUACUGUAUAGUCACAAAACAAGACGAGACUUGAUAUAUAGAGAUUCUAUACUAUGAUGCGAGAGCCACAUUACCGUAUAGAGAGUCUCACACCCACACUCAAGUAGUCAAGUACUUUAACGCAUGAAGAUAAGAUACAUCCAAAAUUUGGAUUCUAAAUAGUCUAAACGUGCUCAAAACAUCAAAACUUUUCAUGCUAGAUUUAGACUAUAGCAUGAAAAUGUAUUAAAUUGGGAAAAAAAUCUGUUUGAGUAGUUGAGUUUUUUUUUUUUUUUUUUUUAGUUGAGUUUUAUGUUGGAUAAUUCAAGACUUAAAGAAGAAGUUAUCUCUUAGAAGAAGAAGCUUCUAGAGAUAAGUAAGGAUAUUCACAAAUAUGUUUUAGAUAAUGAUAAAGUAUCUAGAUAGAGUUUGUGUUUAACCAAAUCCAAAUAGACUUGGGAGAUGUUCAAGUUCUAUAUAAAUACAAGGGUUCAUGGAGAGAUGUUCCAUGAGACUUAGAGAGAAGAGAUUUAGUUUUGUGAGAGUUUCUAAAUCUAAUAAAGAAGUGUUGUUCUUUAUAUUCUAAGUUCUAGCAAUCAUAACUUUGAAUUGGUAUCAGAGCUUGAAGGAGAAGUAACGAUCGAAGACGACGAUCAAAGCUUCACGUAUCCAAGAUGGGAGACGUGGAACCUUCAACACGAACAAAAGACAUUGGAGCCCCAACGAUCCAAUGCCCUAUGUUAACAACAACAAACUAUACAGUUUGGGCGAUGAGGAUGAAGAUCUUGUUAAGUGUAAGCGAAGUAUGGGACACCAUAGAACCAGGAUCAACGGACAGAAAGAAGAACAAUGUAGCGACAGCUCUUCUAUUUCAAUCAAUCCCCGAGAGCCUCAUCCUACAAAUUGGAGAACAAGGCACGGCAAAGUUGCUGUGGGCUGCGAUCAAAUCUCGUCACCAGGGAGCAGACCGUGUUAAAGUGGCGAGACUCCAAACCCUAAUGUCACAACUCGAUCGGUUGAAGAUGGAAGACACCGACUCGGUUGAUGACUUUGCGGAAAAGAUUUCGGGAAUAGCUUCCCAAUCUGCGUCUCUCGGAAAUACAAUUGACAAAACGAAGUUGGUGAAGAAGUUCUUGACAAGUCUUCCUAGAGGAAAAUUCAUACAAAUUGUAGCUUCUCUUGAGCAAGUCCUAGACUUAGAGACAACGGGAUUUGAAGAAAUAGUAGGGAGAAUAAAAGCUUACGAUGAGCGUAUAAGGGAUGAGACUCAAGGAGAGGAUCAAAGUAAACUCUUGUUUUCAAACAAUAGCCACGGAGGCUACGGCGAAAACAGAAGAGGUUACGGAAACAGAGGAGGACGAGGUUUUGGUAGGGGCAGAGGAAACUUUGGUAGAGGCAGGGGUCGAGGGAGAUUCAAUAGCCAAGAUCAAGGAGCAACAGCUGCGGAAGAAAAACCAAAAUCGAAAAGAGAUCGUUCCAAGGUAAUAUGUUGGAGAUGUGACAAAGCGGGUCACUUUGCAUUGACAUGUCCCGAGAAACCAAUGCAAAACCAAGAAGCUAACCUAAACGAGACACAAGAAGCCGAUGCCUUAUAUGUCCAUGAAGUCGUAUUCCUUAACGAAGAUAAGGUAAUCCCUAAGAACUAUGAUACUAAUAACAACUCGAGUAUUUGGUAUUUAGAUACCGGUGCAAGUAACCACAUGUCGGGGAACAAAGAUUUCUUCUCAAGCCUAGAUGAGAACGUAAAAGGUAAAGUGAGGUUUGGCGAUGGCUCGUGUGUGAAUAUCAUUGGCAAAGGAACGAUUGUCUUUGUGUGCAAGACCGGAGAGAAAAGAGCUCUCAAAGACAUCUAUCUCAUACCCGAGCUAAAACACAACAUAUUGAGUCUUGGACAAGCAACUGAAGGUGGGUGCGAAGUACACAUGAAAGAAGACAUCUUAACACUAAGUGAUCCAUGUGGAAAGUUGCUUGUAAGAGUCACGAGAUCUCCAAACCGACUCUACAAAACCCCGAUGAAAAUAAGCAGUCCAAUGUGUCUACUUUUACGUGAUGAUGAAGAAACAUGGAAGUGGCACUCAAGACUUGGACAUGUGAGCUUUGGUGUCAUGAAUAAUAUGGUACAAAAGGAGAUGGUCGAAGGAAUGCCACGAACUCUACAUGAAAAGAGUGUGUGUGACGUGUGCUUAGCCGGAAAACAAACAAGAAAUUCAUUCCCGAUAAAAACAAGCUUCCGUGCGGCACAAGCAUUGGAACUAGUUCAUGGCGACUUAUGCGGGCCAAUCUCACCACCAACACCAGCUAACAACCGGUAUGUAUUCGUCUUAAUUGAUGAUUUUUCUAGGUACAUGUGGACCAUGUUGCUAAAGGAAAAGAGUGAGGCGUUCGAUCGGUUUAAAAAGUUUAAAGAAGUUGUGGAGAAACAAACCGGGUUAACCGUGAAAACUUUUCGCACCGAUAGAGGAGGAGAGUUUACCUCAGCUCAAUUCACUUCCUUUUGUGAAGAAAAAGGAAUAACAAGACAUCUUACUGCUCCUUACAUACCACAACAAAAUGGUGUAGUUGAAAGAAGAAACCGGACAUUAAUGGAGAUGACAAGAAGCUUACUUAAGGCAAUGAGGAUUCCGAAUCACUUAUGGGGAGAAGCUGUUCGUCAUUCAACUUACCUCAUUAAUCGAGUUCCUACUAAGGCUUUGAAGGGUCAAACGCCUUACGAGUGCUUCACGUUCAAGAAACCGAACAUAGAACAUUUGAGAGUCUUUGGUUGUAUGGCCUACGCUAAAAUCAAUGGACCACAUCUUAAGAAGCUAGAUGAAAGGUCAAGGAGCGUGGUCAAUCUUGGAACCGAGCCGGGUUCUAAAGCCUAUAGACUCUAUGACCCGGUCUCAAGGAAAGUAAUUGCUAGUAGAGACUUGGUCUUCGAUGAAAAGAAAGCUUGGAACUGGUCAUCUACAACAAGUGAAUCCAAUGGUGAACCGGGUAUGUUUAAACUCACUCGUGGAGGUAUUAUAGAUAAUGGAGAUGGAUAUGGUGAUGAUCAAGCCAAUGAAAACCAUAAUCCGGAUCAAGAUCCUAUAGACCAAGACGAAGAAGAAGAGGUAGAAGAAGAGGUAGAAGAAGAAGAACAUGUUGACAAUGCCGUGAAUCAAGGAGCAGAGAAUCAACAAGUAGUGACUAGAUAUGGCCGUACGAUAAGACAACCUAGCUACCUUGAUGAUUAUGUGUUGCUUGCAGAACAAGAAAGUGGUAGAUUACUACUUACGGUAGACGGAGAACCUGAAAAUUACUUUGAAGCUGAACAUCAAAAGGAAUGGAUUGAUGCAAUGCAAGCCGAGUUGGAUUCAAUUCUCAAGAACAAGACAUGGGAACUCGUUGAUAAACCGGUUUAUGUUAAACCUAUUGGUCUUAAGUGGAUUUAUAAGAUCAAGAAGAAAGCGGAUGGCUCGGUUAAUAAAUACAAGGCAAGGCUUGUAGCUAAAGGCUAUGUACAACAACAAGGCAUAGAUUUUGAUGAAGUGUUUGCUCCGGUGGCACGUCUCGAAACUAUACGCCUUCUCAUAGCCUUAGCNNNNNNNNNNNNNNNNNNNNNNNNNNNNNNNNNNNNNNNNNNNNNNNNNNNNNNNNNNNNNNNNNNNNNNNNNNNNNNNNNNNNNNNNNNNNNNNNNNNNAAGAAAGGUGAGGAAGAUCGAGUGUAUCGACUUUACAAGGCUCUAUACGGCUUACGACAAGCUCCUAGAGCAUGGAAUGUAAAACUCGACCAAGUCUUAAGAGAGAUGGGCUUCAACAAGUAUAUCAAGGAACCGACGGUAUAUCGGAAGAACGACAAGAAGGACGUCUUGAUUGUGGCUAUCUACGUGGAUGAUUUGUUUGUGACGGGAACCACACUUAAGGUCAUCAACAAAUUCAAAGAAGAUAUGUCAAAGAAAUUCGAGAUGUCGGACCUAGGGAAGUUAACGUAUUAUCUUGGCAUAGAAGUGAUUCAAGGAGUGGAUGGGAUAAAGAUAAAGCAAGAAAGAUACGCUCAAGGAAUUCUUAUUAAUGCUAAGAUGGAAUCGUGUAACUUGACUCAUACACCAAUGCAUCCAAGUCAAAAGAUCAACAAGUUGGAAGAAGAACCAGAGAUUGAUGCAACCGAGUAUAGACGAACCAUUGGUUGUCUUAGGUACCUCCUACACACAAGACCGGAUCUCUCCUUUGCUGUUGGAGUUCUAAGCCGGUAUAUGCAAAGUCCAAGAAAUUCUCAUGGGAUUGCGGUCAAGCAUAUAUUAAGGUAUGUAAGAGGAACAACAAACUUUGGUUUGUUUUUCAAGAGAGACGGGUCAAGGAGAAUCACCGGAUAUAGUGAUAGUAGUCACAAUGUUGAUAUUGACGACGGAAGAAGCACCGCGGGACACGUUUUCUAUUUUGGUUCAUCACCGAUUACUUGGACAUCACAAAAGCAACCUAAGGUCGCAUUGUCCUCAUGCGAAGCGGAAUCAUGGCAGCUACGGAAGCCGCGAAACAAGCUAUAUGGCUUAAAGAAUUGUUGAGUGAGAUACUAAGCGUUGAAGGCGAGAAGGUCUUACUAAGGAUUGACAAUAAAUCGGCUAUAGCUUUGACCAAGAAUCCGGUGUUUCAUGGGAGAAGUAAGCACAUACUUUCGAAGUAUCAUUUUAUUCGGGAAUGUGUGGAAGACGGACAAAUCGAAGUUGAGCAUGUACCCGGAGAGGUCCAAAAGGCGGACAUUCUUACCAAGCCAUUAGGAAGAUUCAAGUUCAAGGAAAUGCGGGACCUAAUCGGUGUUGAAGAGAUCAAGACUCCCAAAAUUCAAGUUGGAAUUAAGGGGGAGAAUGUUGGAUAAUUCAAGACUUAAAGAAGAAGUUAUCUCUUAGAAGAAGAAGCUUCUAGAGAUAAGUAAGGAUAUUCACAAAUAUGUUUUAGAUAAUGAUAAAGUAUCUAGAUAGAGUUUGUGUUUAACCAAAUCCAAAUAGACUUGGGAGAUGUCCAAGUUCUAUAUAAAUACAAGGGUUCAUGGAGAGAUGUUCCAUGAGACUUAGAGAGAAGAGAUUUAGUUUUGUGAGAGUUUCUAAAUCUAAUAAAGAAGUGUUGUUCUUUAUAUUCUAAGUUCUAGCAAUCAUAACUUUGAUUUUAUUUGUUUCUCAAAGUUAGUAUAGUUUCGGUGUUGGACUAUAAAAUAAGCAUGUCCAUACGAGCUCAUGCUAUUGCCAGCAUGGGCUUUUCUGACUAACACAUCACUAGUUUAAAACUAGAACUUAGAAGAAUGUAAAUACAUUACAACGAGUUUAGAAUCAACUGAUUAUUUUGAACAUUUUUGUAUGUUGAUUGUUGAACCCAAAAAUGGCGGAAAAAAAAAAGAUUGUUGAACCCAAUUUUUAACAGGAAAGAAAUAAAAAGCUUACAAAACAGAAUGAUGUGGUCCAAAAAGGAUAAAGUGUUUUGUCUCUCGAGGUACAUUGGACGAAGCAUAUGGUCUUUGUCCAUACCAGUUUCUUUUCUCCUUUUCUCAAUUUCGAGCUCCUACGGUAAUGGUACUCUACAUUAUAAGUAUAUAUUCUAUGUUUCUUGGUUUACAAAAAAAAAAAAAAAAAAAAAAUCUCUGUUUCUUUAUUUUCAGAUAAUUUUCUUCAUGUGUUUAUUAUUCAAUGUAGAUGACAUUAUUGCGAAAAACCUAAUUUAAACCUGAAAUUUCAAGUCGAUAACCAAAACUUCAUACAAACCAGAUACUGUUUUCUAAAUAAAUCUUGAUUUUCCUAAAUUAAACUAUAAAUAUGAUAGUUAUUGUCUUAUUGAUGCAACCAUCAACAUUAUUAGACCAGACGAUUUGGUUUGUCCAUUUACAUUGGAGCCAGUAUUAUUACUAUGUUUCAAUACUAUUGAAUAAAGUAAAAUUGUAAAUGAUAGUCAAAAUGGUUUCGUGGUGUAGUUGGUUAUCACGUCAGUCUAACACACUGAAGGUCUCCGGUUCGAACCCGGGCGAAGCCAAUAUCUUUCAUUUUUAAUAAUAGUUUCGAGUUUUGAUUAAUUACCAAAAUAAAAUAAAUCAAGUCUUCACUCUCCAAAAAGUAUGUACAACACAUCAUUUUUUCUUUCUUCAUUAGCUACAUCUUUUGUUCCUUAGUUUACUCAACCAAAUCUCUCUCUCUCUCUCCCUUUGAGUCUCAAAACUUCAAUGGCUCACCAGGUAUACUCUUAAUCCUUUCUUUCUUUCUUUUCUCUCUCGUUCUUUAACACAAUAGCCUUAUAUACAUACACACGCAUACAUAUAGAUAUGUAUACACCAUGUGUAAUGGAUGUGAUUGUGUAGGAGGAAGGAUGGCCAUUGGGUCUGAGGCCAGUAAAUGCAAGAAUCGGAGGACUCACAAGAGGAGCUCAUCAUCAUGAACAAGUCUCGGCUGGUUCAAUCUCCUUCACCUCUCUCUUGUCUCCUUCUCCCUCAUCUCACUCUUCCUCCGAUCUUGAUUCUCAGGUCAGAUAUACAUAUACACUUAUCUACUUAUAAUAUAAAUAUAUAUGCGUACACACAUACCACAUUUCAUAGAUAGACUAUAUAAUAUAUAGUAAACUAUUCACGGGUCUUGGUAGAUUCUUUUCUUGGUUGAAUCCUUACACAUCCCUCCACAAUUUCAUAUUUUAAUUUGUUCCCAUAUUCGGAUAGAUCAAUGAAUUAUUUUAAUAAUAUCAAUCAUAUUUUUUGCUUGAUAAAAUAGUUUAUUUCAGUUUUAUCUUUGUUUUUCGUUUUCUUGCAUAUUAAUUGAUGAGCCGUUUGAAACUGUCUACGGUUCUUUUUUCUUCUCAUGGAAAUUUAGAAGGAAGACAAUGAUUCUACUUUGACUACUAGUUAGGAUCUAUUGAAUUCACAUUCUCUUUCAGUUUUUUUUUUUUUUUUUUUUUUUUUUUUUUUUCGCCUCACAUUCUCUUUCAGUUUAUUAAAAUGAAAUUACUAAAAUAGUAUUGUUGUUGUUGGUUGAGAUGACUUCAGAGCGAACGUGACCCAAUUGUAUGCACUUUAAAGCUGUGAUGGUUUUGUCUGAAAAGGGCACGUUUGUCGGAAAUUGUUGAUUCUCAAAAUAAAGUUAUACUAGUAGAAAGUAAUAAUCAAAGCAAUUUCUCGAAUAUAUUGGCACCUUUUGUCUUUUGAUCACACAAUAUUAAAAAGUGAAAUCAUUGACAAUUUUACCUAUAAUACAAAGAGAAUAAUUGUGAUUACACGCAAUUUUUUUUCCAUUCACGCAAAAUUUGAAAUAUAUUGUGUUCAGUUUUCUGUCAUUCAGCCAAUUUUCUGAUUAGAAAGUUUAACAAAUAAAUUAUGUUUUAAACCUAAGGAUUUCGGCAUUUUACUCUAAAUAUUUGGUUCUACAACAGAUUUUUGUUUAUACUUAAUUUUCUCUUUUUGGUCACCAUUCACCAUCACAAUUCAAAUAUUGACCUCUUUUGUGAAGCAAACAUCGCAACAACUUUGAGAUUUAUGCUGUCCCAAAGUUUUGGUUUUUUAAGCCCGUAUAUAUACACACUAAAUAAAGCAUGUUACACAUCUAUUUUUUGUCAGUCGAUGGAAUCAUUUUUCCGCGAUAGGAGCUACACCCUAGGAAAUCUAAUCGGGAUAUCAAGCUUUCUUGAACUUUCAAGAAGAUCAAACCGAACAAGGAAUGAUCAAAGUACUGCUAGAAACCAUCAACACCAGAAGAAUCUCAAAACUUACUACAAGCCAUGGAUUUUCUCUAUAUGUUCAAAGCUAAGCACAAAUGCCACUGUCAUUUCCCACAACAGGAUUAUAAACGAAGACAAUGAUGGUCGUAACAAUGUGCAGUCUCUUGGACACUUCCUCAUGGUGGAGAGACGAGCCGUCGGAUCAACCAUACGGUCCACACCGACUAUGUGAAUGUCCGAAAGUUAAUAGCCAAUUGUGCCUUAAAAGUUAAAAAAGAUAAUGCGAUGUGUAAUAUGAUUUCCUAAUGGUCUGACGCAACAGAUUCUGAUUGUACUAUUAUUUUGUAAUUGAGUUUCAAAUGUUCAAAAACAUUUUUCUUUGCAUGAUGAGUUGCAUCAAUAUAUCAUUAUUGGGCAUUGUUGAAAGAGAGAAACUUUCGUAUCUAAAAAGGCCCAAUAAAAAUAGAAACAAUUCCUUAUAAUUAACAAACUAUUUCGUCUGGGCCCAAUGGUAGGUAGGGGUAUAAUUGGAAAUAUAGAAAGAAGCUCUUGCAAAUUACUAAACCCUAAUUCCUUUAUUUUGGAGAAGACUAUAAAAACCGAUUUCUCUCACAUUCCUCUUCUCUUUCGACUUCCCUGGCGGCGCAUUCAGAGAUUCAAACUCAGGUGAGUGAUCAUCAGAUCUCUUCGCUUUAUCGAUUUCAUACUUAGUCUCUUUCGAUUAGUGUGAAAGUUGUGGAAUCGACAAAUCUUAACGAGUUACUACUAGAGUACAUCGCGAUUUGCUUAUGAAUCCGUUUUGAGAAAUUGAAUCGUUCGUCCGUAGAAUCGAUACUGGAUUUGAGCUGAUGCUAUUAGAGUAUAUAUAGCUUUGGAUUUUAAGAGAAUAUUGCAAUUACAAGAGUAGAUCUGAGACUUUCUUCUUCAUCUUAUUAUUUUGUCAUAUUAUUUGAAUUUGCAGAGAAAAUGGUGGCGACAGGCUUAUUCGUGGGGCUAAACAAAGGACAUGUUGUUACCAAACGCGAGCAACCUCCUCGCCCUAACAACAGAAAAGGGGUAAUCUCUAAUGUUUCUUAAUCUUUAGCUCUUUUUUUCUUCUACUUAGUUCCAUAUUUUAACUUCUGUGAUUGGUUAGAUAGAAUUCUAAGGUUCAUAGUAGGAGAUUAGGUCCAGAUCAUGAGCUUCUAAGGCUCCUUGCUUUAUUCACUCUAUUUAUUGAGUCUAAUAGGAAAACAAAUCAAUGGAAUCGCUAUUACUACAUAUUAUUGAAAUUAUAGAAGGUUGUCUUCAUGUCUUUAUCACAGUAUGUUGUUAUUGUGUGUAUGAUUCUUAGUAGCCUUGUUGAAAAUCUGAUUUCACUAUUGUACACUCUUUCUAUUUGUUUUUGUUCAUUUUGUGGUAAUGUCUCUGUUUGAAGUCGAAUGUUGUCUUUUCAUUAUGUCAUUUGAGGGGUUUUCUGAUAUGAGUAUUUUUUAACCAGAAAACAAGCAAAAGGACUCUUUUUAUCAGGAGUCUCAUCAAGGAAGUUGCGGGUCAAGCUCCCUAUGAGAAGAGGAUCACUGAGCUUUUGAAGGUUGGUAAAGACAAGAGAGCUCUUAAAGUUGCCAAGAGAAAGUUGGGAACUCACAAGAGAGCUAAGAGAAAGAGAGAGGAGAUGUCUAGUGUUCUCCGCAAGAUGAGGUCUCCUCUUUUUCUCUUAUCAAACUAAACAUCAAUUAUGCAUCUAACUAAAAAGACUUUUCUCCUUCGUAAUGAAUUGCUUUUCUACUUGCUGAUUCCGCUUGGUUUUUGUUUCUUUGCAGGUCUGGUGGUGGUGGUGCAUCCGAGAAGAAGAAGUGAUGCAGUGACUCUGGUUCAGCGCUCUGUUUCUUCGAAAAACCAGUUUUCUGUUUUUAGUACUUUGCCUUAUGUUUCCGUUGGAUAUUUUGUAGCAGAGAUUAUUAAAUGUUGAAACGAAACCAUUAUGACUUAUGAGCAACUUGUCUACCGGUGUGGCUACGUCUGGUCCUACUUGGAGAUUUCAAAUAUUCGUUACAAUGAUCAUUUUGCUUAAUCGAUGUUGAUGUGCUUGAAAGUUGAAAAUGUUGGUGAUCUUUCUAAGUAGUGAGUUAAGCAUAAUCGGUCCACAAAGUUAUGAUAUUGUGAUAUAUAUAUCUAUAUUAAUAUGUGAUGAUUUAUUAAGCCUCGUGUGUUUUCUUAAGGGCCAAGCAACUUUUUAUGGGCAGUCAUCAUCAUCCGUCACAAUCAUAUAUUAUCGCCCACCAUGGCAGAUCUUUUUUUUUUAUGGGUAAAAAAAUUAAAAUAUAGACUGAUCUAUAAGGUACGACGAAAUUAUCCUUAUAACAAAAAAAAAGAAACAUAUGAACGUUUAUGGAUAUGUGUUGGUACACAUACGUGUGUUAAAUGUGGUUCUAAGUGAUUGGUCAAGUUAAAAAGGAAAGCAACUUGAGGUGCAUGGCUUGUGUUAUUAAAGGAAAUCAAAUUGUUGUACAAAUUUGAAAAUGAUUGGUGCAUGUACCAAUCACAUAUAUUAAUCCAUUGUGACGUCAAAUAUGUGAGAAAUUGAACGUAAAAGUGGUGACUAACCUAAGGCCCCGCCUUGAUUGUGGGCAACGAUUGGGACAAGUGAACAAAAAGAAAAGAAAACUUCUUUUACCAGUAAACAGACAAAGAUAAAUAUAUGUGAAUGAUCUAAGUAAGGUAAGGAAGACAAAUAAAAAUCUAAGAUGUAUUAUUGAUUAUUCAUCUACAUCCUAAUUAAUUCAGAUACUCUAAGCUCUUAAAUUCGGAUAAUUUGGAAUUUUGGAUCAAACUGUGCACAAUAAUUUUGGUUUGAGUCAGCGAAAUGUUAGGCUGGCAAAACAAUAAGGCUUGCAAACUUUAUACUUCGAAGUUUAAUCGCAUUAAUUACCUUGAAACUAUAUUUUGAUUACAAAAUCAAUUAAAAUUUAUUGAUUAAUUUUAUUUGACGAAAUGAAGGACCUAUCUAAUAAUUUAAUUAGUAUGUCAACACAAGAAUAGUAAUGUAAUUAACUAUAUUUUGUUACUAAUUGUUUAUAUCUAUAAUCAUUAGAUAAAAAAAAAAAUGUAUACAUAGGAGCUAAUUAGCUGGAGAUUGUCAAUGGUAAUGAUAAGUGUAGGCGUAGGAGUUGCAUAACGUUGUUAAGGAAAUCGUCGACAAUUUUACUUAGCCAUAUCAAAAAGGUCCCAAACUGAGGGACCCUCAUUGUUUUUUUUUCUAGGUUGGCCAAAAUUUAUAAUGGGGGAAUAACAGAAAUAAAAUUCUGGCAAAGACUAGCUAGAGAGAGGGCACACUAAAAUGGAAUUUUCAUCUUAGUUAGAAAAUUUCAUAGGACAACUAAAUAUCCAUCACAUGUACUAUAGAUAGGUCAUAGUCUGUAAAUAUUCACAUAAUUGGAUAUUUGAAUCAUGGUCGAUACUACAUUACUACUAUUACGCAGAAUAGCAUACCGCAAUGUGGAAUUUUACCAAUCUUACAGUAUUAUAAAAUUAUGGAAGAAAAUACAAUAUAUUUCAUUGAUUCUAUAUUUCUAUCACUUCAUUCCUACAACAACUAUUCUUGCACAGACUUCGGUAUGUUUUUAUAUUUACCAAUUGGAGCCUUAAGUCCAAGUACCACAACACUACACUGCCACACUAUUAAUGAGUAAACGAGAUCAGUCAAGCGAAGGAAUUACUCUCAAAAAAGUAAAAGCUGCGAAGUUACUGUAAAGAGAGAAUGAUCUUCACAGAAAACUAUACAUGGAGGCAUCUUUUAACAAAAAUUAUUUUUGCGGGUGCAAAAAAUGUAAUAUAUGAUGCUAUAAUGUACAUAUCCGGCUUGGAUUUUUGAGCCAAGAAGGUUCCAUGCGCUAGACUUGUAGUGACAAGUAGUUUUCAUUGUUAAAUUUUGUGAGUACACAUAUUGUUCUUAUACUAAAUAUUACUAGCACCAAACAACUUUAAACUUGUAAGACUCGCAUAUCAUCUUUUUCCACGUGGCCUUAAUAUGUGAUUCUUAUUAUCCUCAACAAAUAGUUACCUAUAAUAUCCCAAUUUGGAAAAACAUUAUUCAGAUUCUUGGUCCGCCUUCAAGGACUGGUUUGUACCAAUUUUACUACCUAUGUUAUGACUAUGAGUCAUAGCCUAUGACCGAAUCUAAGACUUCGAUACGAAUAAAAUAUUUAUGAAACUGAGUAUACGACCAUGAAGAUAAAAUGGAAAUAAUUCCAACCAUUCGUUUUCUUAUCCUAUGAUUGGCUGUACUAAGAACUUGUUGAAUUUAAAUACCGAGACAUAUAUAUACCCUCUCCUUACGGAAUUGAAGCAUUACAUUUGCCAAUAUAUUUUUUUCUUUGAAUAACGUCAAUAUAUAGACUUUCAACUAAAGAAAAAUUAAGUUGUAUACAUUUACUGGAAUUUAAAUUAAUAAUUUAACAAAAAAAUCUUUAAUAAACAGUAUAGGUAUUUUAGAUAUUGAAAAUGUAAAUUUUUGUUAAAAAUAAAAAAGUUGGUGAUGUGUAAAAACAGAGAGUUUAGUUGUCAGUCACAUGUUACCAAAAAAAAACAGAAGUACAGAGUUUGGGAUUUUGUUUUGGGCUCAAAUUCUCACGCGUGCAUCGAAGCGCGUGUAAUUUCAAGAUCGAAUCUCUCGGUUCUUGCGCGUGGGCUCCCACCUCCCUGACGCACCGUUACUUUUGUCGCCUAGUGGUCCGUGAUGGUCACGAGCCUCUUGCUCUCUCCCAAGGCGCGUCGUUUUUCUUGCUCAUUGUUCCGACAUUGAUUCGGUCGUCGUUUACUACGUUAGAUUUUUCAGUCUCUUUCACUACAGUAAUUAUCUGAAAUUCUUUGAAGAAAUAUUAUAUUUUAUGUUAGUACAACUAAUGGAGCUAAUUAUUUCAAUAAUGUUUUUGAAACCUUUAUAACUAGAACUACACUAAAUUAGGAAAAUAUUGAGUCGAUUAUGUUACGAUAAUGAAUUCAUGUUUUUAUUGUUCGAAUUUUCACAAAUGAUAUUUGUAAAACGAUUGAAGUCAUAUUACAUUAUUAAUCACUCGUAUAUUUUUUAGCAACCAAUUCAGUUAAAUUCAAUUGACGUCUUCGAUAAAACGGUAUACUUGAAGACUUUAUAGGUUAUAUAUUGUUUGGAACUUGGAAGUUUCCUUAAUUCUAAUUUUUAUGUGCUAAUUAAGAAUUACACAAAGAUAGCCUGUAUUAUAUACAACUUAUCGAUGUUAUCCAGUGUUUUUUUUUUUUUUUUCAUUUACUCCAAAAUUAGUCUUCUAGUUGAUAAAGCACCAUUCCUCAAAAAUCGUUGUUGACAAAAUAAAAUAAAACUAAUACUAAUAUAUUAUCUGUCUAGAUGUGUAUCUAUAUGUUAGUCAAUACUUAUUUUCCUUAUUAAUUUAACUACGGUACUAAACUAAUAGCAAUAUAUAUUUCAUACUUUGACACACAUAACACAUUAUAAUAAUUUAUCAUUACAUUUGUUAUCCUUUCGAUAUAUAAGAUGAUUAUAUUUUUAGUCGACAAAUCUUGUUUUGUCGUUUUCGAAACCGAUUUGCAUUAUCGACGAUCAUGCUCAUGCAUGCAUUGCGCAAAACUAAUCUUAUGGUAUAUAGCGGCCUAGCGGGUUGGUCUCCAGUCUCCGCUACACACAUAUACGUAUAUUUAUAAUGAACUUUAUUGAGAAAUAUUAUUUUAUAGUAGAUGGUCUAAAUAGUGAAUAAAAAUAAAUGAAUUAGGCAGCAAGACAAUAUUUAUCGGGAGUCACGAAGAACGUUCCUUUGCAGAGCAUAACGAAAUCAUUGUCCCUUAAUUAAUUACUUCAAGUAAUCUGUUCUGCACCAUAUCAUUAUAAAUCACAAUGAGUCUAUGAUUGAUGCAAUAACAGCAAGGUAAUAUACCAUUACAAUCAUUCUAAAUUAAUCACUAUCACAUAGUAAUACUCCCUUUAUUCAUAGAAAAUUGAUUUUCUAGAAAUUUCACAUAUUUUAAAAAAUAAUCAUUUGAUAAUUAUUUGUUUUUAUUAAACAUGUUUUAAUAAACUAUGAACUAUAGUAAUAUGAAACAGUUAAUUAUUUUUAAUCAUUACGUCUUGAAAUCUACGAUUUAUUAAUAUCAAUUAAUUAAAAAUAAAGAAAAAAUCUAGAAAAUCAAUCUUUGUGGAAAAAACCUAAAACACUAAUACAUCAAACUUGAAGGAACAGAGGAAAUAUAUAUUAAUAUAUAUAUAUAUACACACGUUUUCCUAUUAAUUUUUGUUUUACCACAAAACAUUUAUUCAAAUAUAAUCGUAGCAGAUAUAUAAAUCAUCACAUGUUUUCAAAAUUCUGGUAUAUAUAUAUAUAUAUUAUAUAUAUAUAUAUAUAUGUCAUGAAUAUAAUUGUUACAAAAUCAUAUGUGAUGAUUAAUGAUAUGUGGAACAAAAUAUUAACAAAGUCACAAUAAUUGAAUUUCAUUGUUGUAGUAAUGCGUGUUAAAUUGAAAUUUUAGUUCAAAAUACCUACGAAUUCGAGUAUACGUAGUUUAGUUAGAUGUUCAAAUUAAUAGCUAGCUUGUAGAUAAAGUCUCAAAUAGAUUCUUCUUUGCUUUACAUCAAAAUCAUCAAAAAGUCUAAUUAAAGUAUUCCGUAAAAGACUCUAUAAUUUUAAAAAUGGAAUAAUCAGAAAACUAUGCAAUUUGAACCGAUUACAUAAACUAUAGUUUUGAUUUGUUUAUGAGAUACUAGACUCAAAAGCUCUCCACAAUAUUUGGUAAUGACAUAUAGUUCAUAUCAUAUGCUAAAAAGAAACAUAAAAUACUUACAAGUCACAUGUACGUAGUAGAAUCGAGUCUUUAGGUGAAUAAUCAGAAAACUGUAAUUUUCUUUUUAAUAUCAUAAAUUAUAAUAGAUAAUUUUGUGACAGACAUUAAAAGUCGCCAACUUAAAAUUCCAUUUUAGUUUUGAGACAUUUUAAUUCUAAGUGUUAAAAUGUGUCAUACUUUUUCAUGGUUAUACUUAAAAUAUUCUCUCUCAACUCCAACAAAAAUAUGCAUUCUUAAUAUUAUGCCUUCUCGUAGCUAGUGAUAUGGAUCAUGAUUAUAGGCUUAUAGCUGCUGCGACAGAAAUACUUUGAUUUAUGUGCUGCAAUCUAAGUUGGUUAGAGAUUUCGAUAAACAAAAAAAGCAACAGGAGGAUAUGUAUAUAUAACCUCAUUCAAUAUUUUGAAUAAAUAAAAAUAUGUUAUAUAAUAGAACACAUUACACGCAUGUAUGAUCAUCAUACCGUCAUACUAAAAAAUGAAAAAUAAAUUUGCAAUAGAAAAAACCCUAAUUUUAAACCUAAAACACCAACCAAGAUAUCCAAACAUAAAAAAAAAAAAAAAACCAAAACUAGUAACGAAAAUGUAAUAGAAAAAACAAAAACCUAGUAUAUAGAUCGAUCGAUGUACUAACUUCAAACUAAGUACAUAAGAUCAUACCACACCCAAUAAGAAAUUAAUAAAAGCAUCAUCAUCAUCACAUAUAGAUUCCUUAGAGAGAUGAUUGAUUAGAUAUUGCUAGUAGAAGAAGAACUGAAAUUAUUAGAGACGUCACUCCACGAACUUGUUGCGGCUGCGGUGGAUGCUGCAGCAGCGCCAUGAAUAUUCCAGAGCUGUUGUUCGUUUCCAAAAAGUUGUCGAGAUAAGUUGAGCUGAUUGUUACUAUCUUCCAUUUUCACUGAAGCUAAUUGCGACGCGGUGGCUGUAACCAUAGCUGACGAAGCAGAAGAAGAGGAAAUAAGGUUAUGGAAAAUGUUCUUAGGUCGGUACUGACCCGACCCGGUAACUAAUCCGUAACCCGGAUUCUGCUGCUCCAUUUGAUGAUCAAACGGGUCUAAACCACCUAAAGGAAGUUGGUUUGUUGCCGGGAAUCUCCACUGGUCAAAACCGGUCAAAAGAGCCGCCGCUCCUCCGCUGCUUCCACCGCCUAUAUGAUAAGAAGGAGCUGAAACGGCACCGUAUUGUAAGGUGAAGUUGUCAGUGAAGUCUAUAGGAGGCAUGAGCUUGAGAGGAGGCAAAGAUGAUCCAAGUCCAAGUAUGUUGUUGUUGUUAUUGUUGUUGUUAUGAUCAUGUCCGGGGAUUAAUCCUGCGUUGUAAGAAGACAGCAACGAGCUCAGAGAAGAUGAAGAAGACGGUGGUCCCAUCUGAUUGUUAGCCAUGGCUCGGUGGUGGUAUUGGUCGUUGCUCGUGGCGCUGUCUUGUGACUUGCUGUUACCGCUACUGGUGCUACCGCCACCUCCACCUCCACCGCUGCUGUUUUUGGUUCUUUUGUUUCUACGGCAACCGCCACCGACGGGAACGCUCCUUAGAGCACCGCCACGUGUCCAGUAACGACGGCAUGCUUUGCAGAAGUGGCGAGGUUGAGUGAGACUGUAGUUGUUGAAGUAACAGAAUUUGGUGUUGGUUGAGUCACAUCUUGGACACUUCAAGGCUGUUUCAGGCAGUGGUAUGUUGGCUAGCCUUGCCCUUUCCGCCAUCGAACCUGGACGGAUUAACACGCCAGGUCCACCGGGACCACUGCCUCCACCGUUACCGUUGUUGUGGUGAAGCUGCGGAGGCGUUUGUUGCGGUUGCGGUUGCGGUGGGAGGGGGUGGUGAGGAAGAAACUGCUGGUUGAUGUUGUUGUUUCCCGUGAAUCCAACGGUGGUUGUGAUUGGUUGAUGCUAAAGAGAGGAAGAAAUGAUUCAAAAACAACACAAAAAGUUAUUAAAAUUUGUGAAAAAUUAAUAAAGAAGGAAAGAAAGAAUUAAUUUUAUGAGUAUAUUCAAAUUCAACCACAGAUAUACAAAGAUUAAAAGUGACAAAAGGAACAAGAAUAUUAUUAUCCUCUUUUCUUGUUUGUUUAAUCUCUCUUUAUGUUUUUUCUUCUUUAAAUUGGUCUUGAGUACUCUCAUAAAUUAUAAAACCAAGAAACCCAAAAAAAAAACCAUUAAGAAAAAAAAGAAGUGAAAAUCGGAUCAUGAACUUACUUGUUGUUGCCAGUUUGAUGAAUGAUCAGGAUAAGUAGGAAAUGAAGUAAAAACCAUCUUCGAUCUUUCUUCUUUGAUGAUAUCUUCUCUCUUUAGUUUUUUUUUUUUGUUUUGUUUUGUUUUUGAGCAAAUAAAGGAACUAAAGUUGUUUUUUUUUUGGUGAAGGCUUAUAUGAAGAAGUGGAGAAUCACAUCAAUAAAAACAAAGGGAAGAGCUUUAGAGAGAGAAAAGAAGAGGAGAUGAGAGCUUGGAGAAAGAUAGAGAGAGAAGGCAAAGGUAAAGGAAGAACCUUUAUUCAUAUAUAUACAUACCCACACAUAUACAUAUAUAUAUAUAUAUAUGGAAUAUGUUUGAAUAUUAUAUUAAAUAUUUAUUGAUGAGUAAAAUAUGAUUUGAGUGUGUCCACAGUGUUAUUGCGAGGCUCUUUUUGUUUUAUAUAUUAUAUACAUAUUUGCUUAGGGUUUUGGGAAGGUGGAGGAGAGUGAGUGUGUUCAAUUGCUUAACUCAUAAGUUUCUUUCUGAUUCUCUCUUUCUGGCAAUACUGCUACUUCUGUACUGUAUGUGCUAAUUAUAUAUAUUGGAAUUAAAGUACGUACUAAUUAAGCUUGACUGGUCGUGUUUCAAAAAUUAAAGUCGGUAAAAUUCAUGACAAUUUUUAUAUAUUUAUUUUUGUGUACAUAAAAAGAUACCACUAAUUAAUAACGAAAAUUAUGUCAAACAUUUUAUUACCAUGCAAAAUAUCAAAUACAAAAUAAACGGGGUUGGGUCUAGGUGAUUGGUAGUAUUCACGAAAAAAACUGCAAUUGUAAUAUCUUAGUUCUUGUAUAAGAAAAUUAGAGCUGAUAUCUAUUGCUAAAUAAAAUAGAUGAUGUUCUAUAUGUUUUUUUGCAGCUAAAUUAUGCUUUUAGUUAUGUUUAUUAUUUACAGAAGAGAAAAUUUGGUACAUUUUUCUGUUUGAAUUUUGGUACGUCUAUAUACCUCAACUUUAAUUAAUUGAGUAAUUAAACACUUAUAUUAAUUAAUCAAUAAUUAUUAAUAAACACUUAUAAAAUAAAAAAUCAAAGAGUGUCGGAAAACUCACCAAACGAUCAGAUUGUAAUACUCAGCGACGAUCUAAUCGUGAUUGAGUGGAAUGAUCACCAAUUAUUUUAUCUACAGAAUCAGCUACGAUAAAUUUGGGAAUUCAAUUAUAUAUAUAUAGACGUAAAUUAUAUCAAAAUAUCAAUAAUGAGCCAACAAAUUUUGAAGCAAAUGAUACGAUAAAUCUUAACAAAUGAUCAAGAAACAAGGUUCUACUUCUUCAAGAUCAAUAAUCACUUCAUAAGAUUUCGACUUCUUCAAAUUCGAUAAUCAUUUCAUUUCAAAAUACAAAGAAGAUCGAUCGAUAAACAAGGUUCUACUUGUUUAUGGGCCAACACUAAUUACUAGUAAUAUAUUAUGAAAUGAUUAAAUAUAUUAGAAAAUGAGUAGAUUAAGUUAAUGAAAAUAUAAUUAUAAAAUGUAAAUAAAGUAAAUUAAUUAAAACAGUCCAACAUUCUUCCAAAUGUCCCCUACCAAUUUCACUUUUCUUUCCCUCGAACCGCCGCGAUGUCUCUUUUUUUUUAGUUCCCUUUUCCAACAUAUUUCUUGUUUUUUUUUUUUGCAUGGCAUUGAGAAUUUUGAAUUUUCGUAGUACACGCGCUAUUUAUUGGGCGCGUAAAUUGAAUCUAACUAGAUCGCCUUCACUUAUUUCGGUAACCGGACCUAACCGGAAACUAAAAUCGUUAAUUUUUACAUACAGUACACCACAUAGCCAGUCGAUUCAGUUCGGCUAAGUUUGGUUUAAAUCAAUAAUUUUAAAUAAAAGUAAACCGCAUCGGUUUCUGGCGAAAUAAUACAUGAAGUUCCAAUAAAAAGGAAAAUUGGAUAAACAAACAUUUUUGUUGGCCUAUGAAUUGUCAUUUUACAGUCUCUCCCAGUUGAACAUUAAACCAGAUGUAUAAUUUUAUAGUAUACCAAUUAGAUCAUCACUUGCUCUUCUUCUUCUUUUUCUUCUUCUUGAAGAAUUUGGGAAUAGUAUCUCGGUUCUCUUGGUCAGCGAGUAUCAAUGGAUCCCGAGUUCCAGCAAACCGGGCCUGAGGUUCCAGAAGCAAUGCAAGAACUGGAGGAAGAAUGAGCAGAGCUAUGUUGAGAUUGGUGAUGUGUAGAUGAAGACGAAGAAACUCUGUUUUGUUGUUGCUUCUGUUCUUGCAUUAGUUUCAAAAUGUAAGCAUCGUCAUGCACCGAGAAAGGCGUGCUGCUCACAGCAAAGUCAAGGGGAAAUAAAAUGAGAAGAUUUCAUUCUCUGAUUAUUAAGAGAUAACAAAAUUGAUUUUGAUUUGAGAAAAUGCUGUUUAGUACCUAUUGAAGUCGAGGUGGACAAGUUGCAUAUCUUCAGAAAUCUCGAUUUCCACUACUGCGUGAGGAUUUGUCUAUAGAGUGAUUUGAGAUGGAGACAGAUAAGGAUAUCGGAGACAUGAGACAGAAACUAAGGAAGACAAGAGAUUCAAAGUACCUCAAGUAGAAUGAAUGGUAAAGUAAAUCCUUCUGCUGGGCCUUGAGUCUUCACAACCAUCUCCUGAUUUCUCGACAUAAGACUCUCAAGACUUGAAACCUGAAGACGACAACAUUUGAGAAAACAUAUAAACAAAACGUAGAAAGACCAUUAUCAUUUCAUUAAGACAACAGAAAAUGAUUAAAACACGAAGUAGAUAUGCGGUUACUACUAAAUGCUAAAUUCAAAGUAAACAGAUGCUUACAGAUUCUAGAAUACAUGCAAAAUCAAUAAUUUUUAUCGUCUCUAACAAUGCAAAACAAGAUCUUGAAUUGUAAGAGUCUUGCAUUUAGAUUUCCAUCAACAUAAAAAAAUGGAAGAGACUCACCUUUUCUCUCAACUCUUUAAGAAAAGCAGCCUUUUUUUGCACACUAUUCAUAACUUUAUUUCGAUCCAUCUGCCAAUACAAGUAUCCGAUAUCCAAAAAGAAUAGUAAAGAAGACGAUCAAGAGAGCAAUAAAACAGAAGAAAAUCGAAAGGGCAAGCUUGGAAGUUGAACCUUGACUUCUUCCACAUCCUUUUUGCAUGUAAUAGGAAGUCCUUUCCACCGGAUUUCCUUUUUAUCCCUAGCUAUAAUAUCCAAGGCCAUGAACACAUUGAGUGCAUCAUAGACUCUCCGCCUUAUGUUCUUCUCAUUAUACUAAUUGAACAUAAGAGAAUGUUGUUAUAACUUUUUAUUUUUUUCAAUAACUCAGACAGACAAUAUCAGCUUGCCAUCUCGCCGUACCUCAUUUUCAUUCAAAGGCUUCUCUGUGUUUUGCUUGAUUGUGGCAAAAUCUGAAAUGAUCUCGUCCGCAACCUGGAAUCACAAGAGCCACAGUCUCAAACAUAGGUUUUCACAUUUUCUCAUACAAUGCCGCUACAUAAGGGCAAGGCUUCUUGAAGUGAGUACUUGUUUAUAUAAAGAUCAAUUCUAAUGCAUAUUAGAUUUGAAAACUUCAAGACCACAACAAAUCUUUGGGCUAGAUAAAAACAACUCAUUGUUUACAUCACAAAUUCUUUAAUGAAGAAGAGAGUUUUACCUCUUUGUAUGUAGUUAUCUUCUUGGCUUCCAACUUCUGACAAACUGAGAAAAUCCACAUGAAUGUGAAGUUGAUCAAAACCAAUACAAUACUAAAUACUUUUAACUCAGCAAUACACAAUACUUAAAAGGUGCUUUUGCAGUAAAGGAAAGAGAGAUAUUCACUGACCCAUCACACUGAAUUGGCGAAGCCCACCUCCAGCAGUUCUUGAUUGCCCUUUCUUCUCUGAUCUUUUUACACCACAAUACAGAUCCAACACAGACAUUUUAGCUCAAACUCAAAAACACCACAGACUCGUGGGUUGUGAGUACAAUAAUUAACAAAAUAUAGACUGACCCAAUUUCAGAAUCAUCAUCAACUAUCAACUUCCUUCUCACUGGAGUUUUCUCCAAGCUCACAGAAGGAUGUUGUCUCUGCUUCUCUGGAGUGGCAAACAAAUCCAUCUCCAUACUCAUACAAAAACGUUCUCCUUCUGUACACAUUUUAACCAUCAUCAAAAGCUUUUAGUUGCUCAUGAAUCAAAUCAAUCGUUGACUAAAAUCAACGGACACAGAAUCUAAAAAAAACCCUCGAUUGUUUAUAAUCUGUGCAGCUCCCAUUUCAAUUUUUACCAUAAAGAACAAACAAUCAGGAAAAAAUUAAGAAAUGGGUAUCAAUCAACCAGUGGAUUAGAUCUAGCGAUGUGAAGAAACCCUAGCCGGCACAGAGAUUAAUAAGCUGUUCAAAAGACGUAAUCAGGACUAAAGACGAACCAGUGAUCCUCCAAAGGCGGAAAAAAACCCUAGAAAAUUUUGGAGAUUUCUAGGGUUUUGUUUUGUUCACAGAGAUGCGAACAAGACAAAUCGGAGGUGAAGAAAUAAGUGAGAGAGUUCCCGCUAUAAAAACAACUGUAACAAACGAAGAAUUCUCAAUAGCCCAUCAAAGGCUCAACAAAACCACACAAACGCUCAAGCGUUACCCUCAACGGCGUCGUUUUGCUUUAGCGGGUCGUAAUUAUUUCUAACUUAGCCCAUUGGGCCCAUAUGCUUAAAACCAACCAAACACGUAUCUUUCUUUUAUAAUCAUCGAUGACUUUUCGUCUAUAAGACAUGGUCCGUAUCACCACCUUGUAACUAUAAAAUAAAGACAAACUCCAUAUUUUUAAUUUGUACUGCAUAUACUGUUUGUUUCUUUUUCUCCCAGGUAUUGAUUUCGGGUUCUCAAGGCUUCUUGAGGAAUUGAUCACAUGUUCAUGAUCGGACUCUGAUGAAUCAAAACCGUUGAAACGAAGAAAGAGUAACGGGAAUCCGAAACAAAAACUCUUGUGAAAGAGAAGAUCCAUCCAAUGAUCUAUAUUAAUAUUGAGUUUUAUUAUCAAUAUGAAAAAACAACAACCUUAUUGACAUGCAGGGAAUUGGGAAAGAAGAGAGAACAGUAAGCUAAUGUCGUAAAUACAUAAUUCAUUGUUUCUAGCAAUUAUUUGCUUGGACAAACGGUAGCCUGUGGGGAGUUUGUCUUUGCCAAUUGUUUCCUUAAGAUACGAUACAAACGGUAGCGCUCCUCGAAUGUGGGGGGGAGUAUGUCUUGGUAGAGACGACCACUCAACUGCCAAAGGCAAAUCAUCAUAGAGUGAGCUAAAGAGAGGAGAAAAUAAAAUUAGAAAAGAAAAAGAGAGAGAGAGAGAGAGAUUUACUCACACAGGAUCCUGGAGGAGCAUAGCGACGCUUACGCUUAAUGGGUUCCCCAAGUUUCAAUUCAAUUCCUGUAAGCAGGGAAAAAAUAAAAAAUAUGGAGGCGAGAUUCAACAGACCCAAAGGAUAAACAAAGAACACGAAAAUAUCUAACCCCAGAAUUCCUUCAUUCUCCCGUCGAGGUUAUAGAGAUACUCGUCUCAUAUAAAUACCUACCAUAAUGACCUAGCUCUAAUUCGAUAAUUGAGUUGGGUUAAAAGCCCAUCGUAACAGUAACCCAAACAAAGACACGCACGGUCCACUUGAAUUUUUCUCUAAUUUGUUGACAUUUGGCAUCUGAAAUGUGGUAUCUCUUUUUAACAUAUUUUUCCAAUGUUUUUUAAUCAUUAAAAUUAUAUUAAAAAAAAAUCAAAUUACUUUAUGUUAAAGCAAAUGAUUUGAAAGUUUAUUUAAAUUAAAAUAAUAUUUUACAGAGUAGUUUUAAACGUGUUAAAGAAAUAUAUAUUAUCACUAAAUCUAUAAAAAUAAUUCUAAUUAUUACACAUUGAAGCUUUAUCAUAUAAAUUUUUAAAAUCAUAUACAAAGAUGGGAUAGAUGCAUAAUUUAUAUGGUAAGCUUGAAAGCUUUAGUUUACUACUUUUAAAAAUUAAGUAAUGGCAUACUUUCUCUGGUGUUAUAUAUUUUAGCCCUUCUCACCUAUAUAUAAUUAAUUUUGCUCCGUUACAUACAUGUUGGAAUCGUUUUUUGAGACUGCAUUUUGGUUAUUGGUGGUGGAUUGAUGUUAUUCAGAUGAACCUGAGACCACUUCUGUGUUUGUUGGAGAGGUAACAAGGAAGACGGGGUUUAUUCUUUAAUUGAUGAAUUGCAUUAACAAGUCGUUGAAAUUCAAAAUUUAUUGUCGUAUUGCUUAAGUUUGGAUCUUCUCAUUGUUGGAUCGUAUAACGUACAAUUAGUAGACCCAUUAUUGUGCAGUCGUUAAAAUAUUCCUCUUUUUAUUCAAAAUUACAGUUUGUGGAUCCAUUACAUUUCUUAUGAUUUAAAUGUUUGUGACUUGUCAAUUAAUAUAAAUAGUAAUGCGUUUUUCCCCUAUUAUCAGUAUGAAUUUAAAUUACUAACAACUUAACAAGGUAUUGCAAAACAUCAGUUUUCAGAUAAAACUAAUGCUAAACCAAUAGAUAUCAAUCUAUUAACAACAUACAAGAUAAAUCCUAAAUUGAUUUAUACUUGUUGGUGUCGGAUCCCGCACCAGAAGUACGAGACCAACCAAAGAUUGCCACGUAAUCAGGAUAAUGGCCCAUAAAGGAUGAAGCCCAUUGGACCCGCGAGCCGAAAGGAUGGACGAAGUGGUUGUCACCAUUUAGAUAACCCGAAGUGACUGCACUAUGACGCGAGUUCGGUGUAGAAGACACGGGUAAGUCGGUUCGAAGACAUUUGGGCCAGAAGAGGCGAGGCCCGUGAAGAUCAGAGUCAACUCAAAUUCAAACGUUGAGCAUUAAAGCCGAAGAAUCAAAACGGACACAUUUAAGAAGGAAUAAUUGUACUUAAUUACUCAUUUUAAAUGUCGUUUAGCUAUGUAUAAAUAUAGAGGCCAGUGGCCAUGUAAAGGGGGGACCAUCUAAAAAAAAGAGAGAAAUAAUAUAGCAAUUUUCGUAUCAAUUUACAAGUUCUUACGUAUUCAUUUUUGUCCCUCAAGAAUAAUCUUUCCCAUUUAACAAAAUACUUGAGUGUGUGAAUCCGACUUCCACAUUUUGGCGCCGUCUGUGGGGAUAUCAGGAUUCUUGAGUGGGCAGAUUUCUUCUUUUCUACAUUUCCGAGAUAAGCGACAAUGUCCGGAGGAGACGCCGUUGAAACAUCAUUGGCCGAAACCCUCAAAGCUAUGCAGCAAACCAUGUCGGACAUAUCACAAAAGUUCUCGGAUGUGGAGAAGGCCGUCGAUACGUUGCAAACAUCCCAGGUAUCUCUUAGUCAAAACGUCAAUAAUAUACAAACUCGUGUUCGCUCUUUAAGUGCAGGAAACCCGGUGGGAACCCGAAGAGGGAUAUUCAACUCGCCAAGUUCCGCUGCACGAAAUGAAACCAGCGGACAAACAACUCCCGGUGCUACAAAUAAUGUAGCUCAGACGUCGGAAGAAGAGACGCAGCUCGGGGAUGAAGAACAAUUUGCAGCUCAGUACGAGCAGGAGAACCUCGACCAGUUCGAGACCAUGAAGAAGGUUAGCCAGGAAUUAAAAGAAAUGAAAUCAAAAUUUCAUCAGGCUACAAGUUCGGAGCCAGACAUUAAUCGAGUCAUUGAAGAAGCAAGGCGAACCCCUUUUAUCCCGCGAAUUGCAAGUUUGAGGAUCAAAGAUUCCCGGAAGCUCAAGUUGGACCCUUACAGCGGAUUGGAGGAUCCAAAAAGCUAUCUUGCAGCCUUUCUGAUCGCUGCAGGAAGAGUCGAGUUGGAUGAAGCUGAUGAAGAUGCAGGCUAUUGCAAGCUGUUUUCGGAGAAUCUAUGUGGCCAAGCUCUAAUGUGGUUCACCCAAUUAGAGCCGAGUUCGAUCAGCAAUUUCGACGAACUGUCAGCCGUGUUCUUAAAGCAAUAUUCUAUCCUUAUGGAUAAAAGCGUUUCGGAUGCCGAUCUUUGGAACUUAACGCAAGGAUCUAAUGAGUCACUUCGAGUUUUCAUCACCAAAUUCAAAGGGGUGCUAUCAAAACUCCCAAGAAUCUCACAGCAAUCAGCUUUAUCUGCCCUACGAAAAGGAUUGCGACAUGAUUCAAGGUUUAAAGAAGACUUAAUACUUCAUAAACCAGACACAAUUCAGGAUGCACUCUUCCGCGCAAACAAUUGGAUGGAGGUAGAAGACGAAAAAGAAAGUUUUGCCAAGCGGAAUAAACAAGAAAAGCCGGCAAUCACCGUCCCUACCAAGAAGUUCGAGCCUAAAGAGAGCAAAGGACCAAGGAAGUUUGGGUCGCAACCCUUCAACAAUUCUGUCGGGAAGCAAUUCCAAGGGAAAGGAAGAUCAAACACUUGGGUCCGUGAUGAAAGUCUAUAUUGCGACAUUCAUAAAGUAACCGGACAUUUAACCAAGGAUUGCAGCGUUCUUAAAAAGCACCUCGCAGAGCUUUGGGCUAGUGGUGAUCUUUCUAAAUUCGAUAUAAAAGAUUUUGUGAAGGAGUACCACGAAGUAAAGGAAAACUCCAAAGAUCAGGAUUCCAAAAGACCAAGGUUAUCCAACGAGGAAGAACCGAGAAGUUCUAAGGGGAAGAUCAAUGUGAUUAUAGGAGGAUCCAGAUUUUGCGGAGAUUCAAUAAGUUCAAUCAAAAAGCAUCGACGAAAUGUCUCACUCAAAGCAAGCUUAAGCGAAGAAGUCGAUUUUCAAGGUGCAUCAAUAUCAUUCGAUGAAAAAGAAACACGGCAUCUCGAAAAACCGCAUGACGAUGCUCUAGUCAUUACUCUUGAUGUCGCAAAUUUCGAAGUAUCAAGGAUCCUUAUAGAUACAGGCAGUUCGGUCGACUUGAUCUUUUUAAGUACUCUAGAAAAAAUGGGAAUCAGCCGAGGAGACAUAGUAGGACCUCCAUCUCCGUUAGUUGCAUUCACAAGCGAGUCAUCCAUGUCUCUCGGAACAAUCAAGCUCCCAGUCCUUGCCAAGAAGGUAUCGAAAAUCGUGGACUUCGUUGUCUUCGAUAAGCCCGCUGCUUACAACAUCAUCCUCGGGACUCCCUGGAUUUAUCGAAUGAAAGCAGUCCCCUCUACGUACCAUCAAUGUAUCAAAUUUCCAACAUCAAAUGGGGUGGAAACAAUUCGGGGAGAUCAAGAAGCUUCACGAACUUGUUACUUAGCUAGCCACCGUAUGAAGAUUCAAUAGCAAUUAGCGAAGCCCGCAAAAGAAGGACUAAAAACCAAAUUUCCUAGUGGGCAGAAGAAAGAGGAUGUGGUAGUCGAAGUGGCACUGGAAGAAGACAAGCCGGACCGGAAAAUUAGAAUUGGAGCAACCUUGACUGGCCAAAUAAAAGAAGCUUUGAUCGAACUCUUAAGGAAAAACAAAGCGUCGUUUGCAUGGUCAGCAGCGGAUAUGCCGGGUAUAAAUCCGGGUAUAAUUUGUCAUGAACUAAACGUAGAUCCAAGCUUCAAACCGGUGAAACAAAAAAGAAGAAAGCUUGGGGUCGAGCGGGCAAAAAUAGUAAACGACGAAGUGGAUAAACUCUUGAAGAUAGGGUCCAUAAGAGAAGUGCAAUAUCCGGAGUGGGUAGCAAACACUGUCGUUGUCAAGAAAAAGAAUGGGAAAGAUAGGGUUUGCAUCGACUUUACUGACCUAAAUAAAGCGUGUCCCAAAGAUAGUUUCCCUCUCCCGCAUAUAGAUCGACUUGUAGAGUCCACCGCUGGAAAUGAGCUGUUAACGUUCAUGGACGCCUUCUCGGGUUAUAAUCAGAUAAUGAUGAACCCCGAAGAUCAAGAAAAGACGUCAUUUAUCACAGAUAGAGGUAUUUACUGUUACAAGGUAAUGCCUUUUGGUUUGAAAAAUGCAGGAGCAACUUACCAAACGGUUGGUGAACAAAAUGUUUCACAAUCACCUCGGGAAGACUAUGGAAGUCUACAUAGAUGAUAUGUUGGUUAAAUCGUUGAAGAAAGAAGAUCAUGUUAAGCAUUUGGAGGACUGUCUCGAUAUUCUCAUUAGAUAUCAGAUGAAGCUGAAUNNNNNNNNNNNNNNNNNNNNNNNNNNNNNNNNNNNNNNNNNNNNNNNNNNNNNNNNNNNNNNNNNNNNNNNNNNNNNNNNNNNNNNNNNNNNNNNNNNNNAAAGAGGGAUUGAAGCCAAUCCAAAUCAAAUUAACGCCUUUCUAGACAUGCCAUCUCCGAGAAACUUCAAAGAAGUACAACGGUUGACUGGGCGAAUCGCGGCCUUGAAUCGUUUUAUCUCGAGAUCUACAGAUAAGUCGUUGCCUUUCUACCAAAUUCUAAAAGGGAACAAAGUAUUUCUUUGGGAUGAGAAGUGUGAAGAAGCUUUUGGGCAGCUUAAGGCAUACUUAACCACUCCACCUAUACUGUCCAAACCGGAAGUGGAUGAAAAACUCUACUUAUACGUUUCAGUUUCAAACCACGCGGUUAGUGGAGUCUUGGUUCGGGAAGACCGUGGGGAGCAGAAACCAAUUUACUAUGUGAGCAAGUCAAUGACGGAUCCGGAAACCAGAUACACAAUGAUGGAAAAACUUGCACUCGCGGUGGUAACUUCGGCUCGGAAGUUGCGUCCAUAUUUUCAGUCCCAUCCGGUUGAAGUAUUAACUAACCAACCACUCAGAACAAUACUUCAUAGUCCAAGUCAAUCCGGACGUUUGGCGAAAUGGGCGGUGGAAUUAAGCGAGUACGACAUAGAGUUUAAAAGCCGGAUCAGUAUGAAAGCUCAAGUCUUAGCAGAUUUCCUGACCGAACUACCAAUACCUGGAACGAUAGAUCAACCGGAGAACCAAACUUGGAAAUUACACGUAGAUGGGUCUUCAACAAAGCAAGGAUCCGGAGUGGGAAUUAGGUUGGAAUCUCCGACAUCAGAAAUUCUAGAACAAUCGUUCCGAUUGUUAUUCAAUGCCUCUAACAAUGAGGCAGAAUACGAAGCCCUUAUUGCCGGACUUCGGCUAGCACAAGGAGUUGGAGCUAAGGAAAUAUUGGCUUAUUGCGAUUCGCAAUUAGUAGCUAACCAGUUUAAUGGAGACUAUGAAGCCAAAGAUUCAAGAAUGGAAGCUUACCUCGAAGUGGUGAAGGAUUUAUCUAAAAAUUUCUCGAAAUUCGAGUUAAUCCGCAUACCUCGCGGAGAGAAUACAACUGCAGAUGCACUCGCCGCGUUGGCGUCAACAUCAGAUCCUGAGUUAAAGAGAGUUAUUCCGGUAGAGUGCAUCUCGGAGCGAAGCAUUCAAGACAGCAAGGAAACCCUCGUCGUUACAAGGUCUCGAGCAGCGGCACGUGACCAUGGUGAACCAGAGAUCGAACCGCCACCCAACAAACGCAGGAAGUCAAAAGGAUCAAAUACAUCUAACAAGGAACCUGUUGUCUUAGCUGAAGAAAUGAUUCCAGAAACGAUGAUAGAAACCGAGCCAUUACUCGAGGAAAAUAUUCUUGAACCAAACGAACAUCCCGAACCAGAGCCGCGGAUAUUUCACAAAGUUGACCAAAUUCCGGCUAAAGACUGGGGGGCUGACUGGAGGGAGCCAAUAAAGCACUACAUCACGACAGGCGAGCUCCCAAAGAAUAAAUGGCAGGCCAGGAAAAUGAAAGUCGUUAGCGCGAAAUUUUGCCUAUCAAAAGAUGCGUUAUAUAGGCGAGGUGUUAGUGACCCUUACCUACUAUGCAUUUUUGGGCCCGAAGUCGAAAUCGUCAUGAGCGAAGUGCAUGAGGGAUUAUGUGGAAGUCAUUCAUCAGGAAGAGCUAUGGCUUUUAAAGUUAAAAGAAUGGGGUACUUUUGGCCCACUAUGAUCACAGAUUGCGUUAAGUUCGCCCAAAGAUGCAAGCGCUGCCAACUCCAUGCGCCAUUAAUCCAUCAACCGUCGGAGUUAUUCUCUUCCAUUUCCGCCCCAUACCCGUUUAUGAGGUGGUCGAUGGACAUCAUUGGACCAUUGCACAAAUCAACUCGAGGUGUACAGUACCUUUUAGUCCUCACGGACUACUUUUCGAAAUGGAUUGAAGCUGAGGCGUAUGUCGGUAUCAAGGAUUCGGCGGUAAAGACUUUUAUUUGGAAAAACAUUAUAUGUCGACAUGGAGUUCCGUACGAAAUAGUCACUGAUAAUGGACCGCAAUUCAUUUCACACGAGUUUGAUGCCUUUUGUGCGGACUGGGGAAUUAAAGUUAGUUAUUCUACUCCAAGAUAUCCGCAAGGAAACGGUCAAGCCGAAGCCGCGAACAAGACGAUAUUAAGCAAUCUCAAGAAACGCUUAAGUCAUCUAAAGGGAGGAUGGUAUGAAGAACUCCAACCCGUCCUGUGGGCUUAUCGUACAACCCCUAGGCGACCUACAGGAGAAACUCCAUUCUCUUUGGUUUAUGGCAUGGAAGCGGUAGUACCAGCUGAACUCAACGUGCCCGGACUUCGUCGAACGGAAUCACCGUUAAAUGAGGAAGAAAAUUCAGCGAUGCUUAACGAUUCACUGGAUACCAUAAAUGAAAGGCGUGAUCAAGCUCUAAUUCGGAUCCAGAAUUACCAACAGGCAGCAGCCCGGUAUUACAAUUCUAAGGUCAAAAGUAGGCCGUUCUUCGUGGGAGACUAUGUAUUAAGGCGUGUAUUUGACAACAGAAAAGAAGAAGGCGCCGGUAAACUCGGUAUUAAUUGGGAAGGACCUUACGUUAUUACCGAAGUGGUUCGGAACGGUGUUUAUAGGUUAAAAGACCUAGAAGACAAUCCAGUCAAGCGACCUUGGAAUGUGAUCAACUUAAAAAAGUUUUAUGUUUAAAAGCUACAUGCAUUGUUUAUGUACAUGAACUACGAUUUGGCUUGAUCCCGAAAUGGGUACGUAGGCAGCUCGAAAACGAGUUCAGCUAUUAAUAAAUUUUUUUUUGUUUUAUUUCUUUAUUAAAGGAAGAAGGUUCGGCUAUGCGAACAUACAAGAGAUUGGAAAUAAAGCGUUUACAAAAAAAAAAGGGAGGCGAAGUGUCCCUCAUCGUACACUUCGAACUACGAAAUCCUCGUUGACGAGCAGAACACUUCAAUUCCUUGACCAGCAAGAUCGAGGAUUGACAUCAUGCAGUCCGGAAUUCGAGCAAAGUCGGAGAUUCCAAGCUCAAUCCACUCUCCGGGGUGAGAUUCAAGAAUGUAAAGAUUUCUUGACACCGUAGUAAGUCUGCGUUGCAUCCGGUUAAUCCUCUUCCGGAGUCUCCUCUUUUCCGACGUAAGCUUCCGGUGUUGAAGUUCAAGUGUUUCUAUGAACGCCGUCGCUGUUCCUUGGUCUCUGACUGAGAGAUUCCUGAUCAAAGCACAGGGGGCUCGGAUCUGAGAUCUCGAGAAGCCGCGAAGUGGAGGAGGCUGCCUGUUGGGCUCACUUGGAACAUCUUCAUUCAUCAUUCCGAUUCUGGAGAAGUCGGGCAUAGAUUCUGAACAGCGUAGAUUGAACUCCAUGCCUGCUAAAAUAAAAAAAUGGUGAGGAAUAAAGGGGGGUUGAACCUAUAAUUUAUAGGAACCCCAUAUCCCUAGCAAGCUACGGAUUCUAUCCAAGUAAUGGAAUGAUUCGCGGAGAGAUUUAUGCCCUCGAACGGAUCCUGCAUUAAAAGAUGCAUCUCGAAGAGUAUUUGGAAAAGAAGGAAAGUAGCAAAUAUUUCCAUAAAUAAAAAAGGGCCGAAGCCCAUUACGAGUUUUUGUUUUAAAAAAAAAAAGAGAAGAGAGAAGCGAAGAAAUUGGAGAACAUUUAUGGGAGAGGCUCAGGAACAGGCUCCUUCAUCGCCGGUUUAGUCCUCGAAGUGGACGCCUUGUUUUUGGCAUCCACUUCGGAACGAUCCCGAAGGCGUUUCCGGCAGUCGCUGGCCUCCUCCUCCAAGUCCUCUUCCUCUUCAUCGUCGGAUGGAGUGACGAAGACGGGGGCGUUCGCAGGGCCCGGGAUCCCUCUAGCGCGGAGAUACAUCCGAAGCAUCUUCGGGAUCUCAGCAACGGAGUCGAAGUUCCGCCACUCCCAUUGAAAGGGGUCGCUUUCCAAGGCCCGUAUCUUCCUCUCCACUCGAGCGAUGCGAGCCUCGAGUGUUUGCCUUUUGAGGCCCAGCCGCUGCCUCUCUUCACAUAGCCGGCGGUGCUUGUCGGCGACCUAACAUAAAAGAGUGAAUAAUAUGAAGCAAAAAGUUUUUAAGCCAAAAACUUUAAAUAUUUACCUUAUCGAUGAAGUCGCAAGCCUCUUUCUUCUCCUUUGAAGGGAAGUGAAAGACGGCGUGAGGAAAGAGAACGCCGGCCGGUUCAAAGCCGUCGCCGGAUAAGAAGAGGGGACUGCCGGGAGCGAUGGGGGCUACUUCUUCGUUUUCCAUCCUUAGAAUAUUUCUCAAGUGAGAUUCUAUAGUCAUGUUUAAUAAAGCCUAGAGGUAGGUAAGCCUUUACUUAUAAUGAUUUAGGGUUUGUCUUGGAAACAUAAAUUCAUUAAUGAUAGCGUGCCCAAGUGGUUUAAACCAUUUUUGGAAAAUCGAGAAAAGGCAAUUAUUACAUUAAAAGACGCGCCGUUCUCUUUAAGAAGGGAAAAAGCAACCGUCGCAUCAACUGCAAAAGUUUCUAAGGCCCAAGCCUAACAAGUUUACCGAGUUGACUAAACCCGAAGUGGGGAACUCGCUUUAAGCCGAGCUCAGUUCUCGCAUUCUAAAGAGAAAGGUCUGAUCAGCCUAUAAAAAUCUCGAAAGCAUUGCCACAAGGCCACAAAAGGUUAAAAGCGGACUUUGCAAACCCGCAUUUAAUUUUAACCAAGCCCCCUUGGGUCACAACCUAGAAAGGUUUAAAAGCCUCCUCAGGCAAAUAUCUUGUUCAAAAGAGAAUAAUAAUAAAGCCUCCUUAGGCAAAAAUAAUUGUGAAAUUAAGUCUUAAAAAUAAAGGGACAAUCCCCAAGUCAAAGUGGACACAGCCACUACGGAGCAGCAGCUACCUCGGAGUCCGGCUCAACAGUCGAAGCUUCAUUCACGUCCUUGGCAGCUGCUUGAUCAGAUGAAGUUUCCUGACCACCCUCCACGGUACAACCAACCUCCGGAGUGACCUCCGACACCAUAGGAGCUACGGGCGGGACAACGUCCUCCGCCCCACUUGAGCCUAGGAAUAAUAAUUCCAGUCAACCAAAGGUGCAAGAAAAGGAAAGGUAAUAAAUGUCAGGAGCCAAGCAUUACCUGCCCAGUCUAGACCUGAUUCGCUUAUAGGAGGCGAUUCGGUGAAGAAUUCCUCGAAGUCCUGAGGGUUGAAGGUCGAAGUAGGAAGAGCUGCCAAGCGACUUCGCUUUUCAGAAAGAUUAGCCGAUAGUUCAGUUCUCUCUUGAUCCUCGGAGAAAUCCGCAUCAUGGAUUUGAUCCAGCAGGAUCAGGUUGCUCUCGUGCUCCUUGAUGUCAGAUUCCAGGUCAGACCUAGCCUUCUCAGUCUGCAUGAAUCGGAUGGCCCCUUGGAUCAACUCCAUCCCGCGUCCCUUGACCUCUUUUCUGGCUUUUGACGCCGACUUCGCCAACUCGGAGUCACGCAAUUUGGCGAUCGCCUUGUACUUCGCGUUGAGCUCGAUGAGUUGGUUGUUCAGGGAAUCAGCGUUUGAUUCAGACUCUUGCAGCCUACCUUGAAUACCAGAAAACUCUUCCUGGAGUUUGAAGUUCUGGUCGUACUGACCCUGCAGCUCCCCCUUUAUUUGCGCAAGCUCGGAUGUUAAAUUGUCGACUUUGUCCUCCAGAUCAUGCUUGGAGCCGGCAGAAGAACUGAGUUCGGCCUCAAGGGCGGAGAGUUUCUUCGUCAACAUGUCAAUCUCCUUCUCCCGGCCAAUGACCAACCCUUCGUAAUGUUCGAUCAUGUCGUUAAAUUUGCUUUGAGCCUGGCGUUAUACAUGAACCCGGGAUGAUAAGUCAGUUCGCAGAAUGGCAAUACAAUAAAAAAUAUACAUAAAAGAAAGCGGGACUAACCCGAGAUGAGUGAUGCGCGUGAAGCAAAUAACGUUCACGAAUCGCGGGGCGCCAUUUGUUGAAAUCUGGCAAGAUCGAACCAGAACGGGUCUUGAAGCAUCGGAAGACGCUGCCUUCUGUCUCCAUAGCUGCGAAGAAGGAAGAAUUGUAAAAAUUGGAAUUUUAAUAAAGACGAAGGUUUAAGUGUGUGUAAAUCACCAAACCUGAAAGCGAUUUGACUUGAGGUACAAGAGCAGGCUUCAGCCUCGAGGGAGCAUCUCGAGAUUCAGAAUCUCCUUUUUUCGGAGACGCGCUCCGGGCGGUCUUUCCACUAUCAGGCUGGGAAGAAGAAGACAUGUCAACCGGUCGUGGAGGACCCAUUGGUUCAGAAGGAGGGGAUGACCGAGGUGAGCGGUCAGUCCGGGUCCUUGACUUUUCCCUCUGCGGGGAAAGAUCACUACGAGAGGACCUGUCUCUCUUUCGGCGAACCAAGUUCUUAAUUGGCUCGUUACUAAAAUCAUCCCGGGAAGGACGAGGUGAAUCACGGCGAGGAGAUCGAUCCCUCCGAGGAGAACGUGAGUCGCGACGAUCUCGACGAGGAGUUAAUCUGAAGGAAGCAACAGAUCGAGCUCCCUCAGUACUGCCAUCAUCGACCAGCAAGGUCCUACUAUAGUCCUUCUUGUCAAUAGAAGUCGCGAGAAACUUUUUCUUCUCUUCGCAAGCUUCAGCCAUCGGCUUGGAAAGCAACUUUCGCUUGGCCGCAAGGGCCCGAGAUGACAUUCCCUGAGUUGAGGGAGGGGGAGGAAUUUGGUGAAGAUGACCAGGCGGACUCAUCCUGAGUCUGUGGUUAGCCUCUAUGAAUCGUUCGAGAGUGAAGGAAUUCCAAAGGGUUUCCCCUUCAAGAAUUAUUUUGAAGAAUUCGAUGAACUCUUCAGAUGGGAGAUUGGAAGCGAUGAAAGCUGCGAAAUGAAACAACGAUGUUAGUUAAUAAAGAUAGAGAAACAACCGGGAAAGAUACGGGCGACCUAAUCUCUACCAGGUUUCGCCGACCACUUCGAAGGGAGGAAAUCUGCAAGAUUUCCAACCGAAGCGGGAGUUUUCUUAAUCAAGAACCAAGGAUGAUGCCAAUUUUCAUCCUUGUUUGGAAGAUGCGAAAUGAUGUUCCUGUUGGCGUUAGGAUAUGCUGAGAAAUACCCCGUUUUCUUCGACGAACUUCUCACGCUUAGAAGCUCAUUUAAUUCGGCAACUCCGAUAACGUAACUGGCCUCCGCCGCGAUUGUUAUAAUGCCGAGAAUUGUGCGGAGAAGAUUGGGGGUUAAUUGAGGAAGAGCGAUUUCAAGAGCCGCUAGGUAUAAAAUUAGGGCUUCGGGAAGAGGAAAGGUAAGCCCGCAACCCUUGAAAUAAAUCUCAUACACACAGAAGUAACUAUUGCGAUGGUUCUCUGGAGAUUCUGUGGGGGAAGCUAUUUGUGCUUCAACCAUGAUUUCCGGCGGAAUCCGGCAAAGCUCUUUCAACCGCUCUAGGGAUUGAAGAGUACAAGUGGACCUAUAGUGCGGACCGGCAAUGUCACCAGGGCGGGUGCACUCAUCGUUACUAGAACGCCUCUCGUCGAAAGACGGAGACUCGGGUCUAUCGGAAUCAGAAGUCAUUGGAAAGAAAAAUUCAAGAUCCGGCGAGGAAGGGUUUUGUGAAGGAACGAAGAGAGAGGUUUUGAUUAAAGUACAAAAGUAAAAGAAGAGAGUAAUGGUGAAAAGAAGUUACCUCAAGCUAAUGAUGAAACCGCCUCGGAAGUUGUGUGGGAAGUGGGAAGGUUUUUUCCCGUUUUAAUAGUAAAUUAAUCAAUAUACGGUCAUAAUGAUGACAGAUGUCACUCGGUUUAAAAAGGAUAGUGCCAAAAUUAAAGGAGUGAUGGGACUUUCGGCGGGAAAUCAGAAAGAUUCUCGAGCGCAAUCUUUGGCCACUUGAGCAUUUAAAGUCCUCCGAACUGGAAUAAACACUUCGAAGAACUUGGGGGGCUAAUUGUUGGUGUCGGAUCCCGCACCAGAAGUACGAGACCAACCAAAGAUUGCCACGUAAUCAGGAUAAUGGCCCAUAAAGGAUGAAGCCCAUUGGACCCGCGAGCCGAAAGGAUGGACGAAGUGGUUGUCACCAUUUAGAUAACCCGAAGUGACUGCACUAUGACGCGAGUUCGGUGUAGAAGACACGGGUAAGUCGGUUCGAAGACAUUUGGGCCAGAAGAGGCGAGGCCCGUGAAGAUCAGAGUCAACUCAAAUUCAAACGUUGAGCAUUAAAGCCGAAGAAUCAAAACGGACACAUUUAAGAAGGAAUAAUUGUACUUAAUUACUCAUUUUAAAUGUCGUUUAGCUAUGUAUAAAUAUAGAGGCCAGUGGCCAUGUAAAGGGGGGACCAUCUAAAAAAAAGAGAGAAAUAAUAUAGCAAUUUUCGUAUCAAUUUACAAGUUCUUACGUAUUCAUUUUUGUCCCUCAAGAAUAAUCUUUCCCAUUUAACAAAAUACUUGAGUGUGUGAAUCCGACUUCCACAAUACUCCCUCUGUUCCUUUUUCUAAGCAGUUUUAGAAUAUUUUUUUUUGUUUCAAAUUAUAUGUUGUUUUCAAUUCUCAAUGCAAAAUUAAUUAGUUUUUAUUGGUUUUGAUUAUUAAUAUUCUACAGAUUGUUUUAUCAUUGGUUGAAUCAUAUUUAGAUAGAUAAUAAGUAAUAUUUUAAUUUAAAAAUAAAUAAAACUAAGUGAUUCCUUAAUGUGUGUGCAAAAACCUUAAACAACUAAUAUACUGAAGCAGAGGGAGUAAUACUUAUAGCUAUUGUAACACAAACAAAGCAAUUUUUAAAACAAUUUAUGCAUUAAUCCUAUUAAAAAAUACUAUAUUCGUAUAAAAAUAAAAGAUGUUGAAACUUUUUACACAUAGAUUAAGAAAUUAAUUAUUUAGUUUUCUAUUUUUUAAAAACUAAAAAAUUAUUUAUUAUAUAUUAAACACAAUUUCACCAACACUCACUACAGCUACAGGUAGUCUUCCUUUAUUAGAUGUGCAGUGGAUUUGACAAAAAACACUUGUCUUUGGGCCUACAUGGGCCACCCAAAGGGAUAUACCAUAUGUUUUGUGCAUUUACAACAUGUUUAUGGUGUAGACAUGUAAAGGACAAGAAGGAGAGGACAUAGUAAAGACAAGAGAGUAUGGGUUUUCUGAAAAGAAAGAGCCCUUCUUGGUAUGAUAGAGGGGACAACAGAGAGUACGAGACAUUGGUAGAAAGACUUCAACGUGUGGGGUUAUAGUCUCUUCUUCAUGGUUGUAUACUCUAAGCUUUUGCUUCAUGGGGGUUGGAGUGGUGAGAGUAGGGUUUGUAACUCUCAUUAUCUCUUUGGUACCAACUCUUUGUAUGGUACCUACAAACACAAAGGGAAACAUCACAAAGUGUUAGCGGUAUUAGGGUGUGUUUGUAUGUAAUCACUAAAGUUAUAGUGAAGGUUGUGGGAGAGGGUUCCCACCCGAGAGGUAGCGGAUAUUAUCCGUGAACUCGGAUCAAAUCUCGCAAGUGUGUUGUUUCUUUAGUAGCUAGUUGUUCUAAGUUCUUCAAGCAAAAGAAAAAGAUCCUCCAAGAAGUGGUAUCAGAGCUAUACCAUUUCAUAACAGCUUGUUUGUCCAUCAAUGCAGAAGUCUUUACUCUCGGUUUCAAAACUGUGUGAUGACUACCCUUGUGGUGUGUUUUUUUGAUGCUAAUGUUGUGUAUGUGAUUGAUCUACAAACUCAGAAAGUAGUGACCAAAGGGCCUUGUCGUGAAGGCUUGUAUGUGUUGGAGAAUAAGGAAUUUGUAAAUGACCAAAGGGCCUUAAUAAAAUCAGUUCAAACCGUUUGAAUAUUAAGGCCAUGAGCAUCCUUUUCUAGCUUUAAAGCCAAAAGUAGAAAGAUCGGCAAAAUGGAGGAGAUUUUCAUUGCCGAAAACUGAAUUGCAUCGAAUGCGAUUUUAUUAUAUGUUUCAAGUGCGCAAUCUUACCAUACAAGGCACGAUAUAAGCACGACAAUCAUCUCCUCAUAUUUGCAAAGUGAAAGAAGCAAGUGAUCAUUCAGGCUGGUGUGAGGUAUGUGAACGCAAAAUAAUAUAUUCACGAGACAUGUUCAGUAUCUUCUUCCUCGGGGAAGACAUAUUCGGUCCCAACGCAAUAGUAUUCAUUACUAUCAGCGGUAAACAAACAGCUCACUAUGGAUAAACCACGUUCAUAGGGAUCCAAGGUAUAAGCUGAUAAAACGUUGAAAGUUUGGUCUUCUAACAGACGGACAAAAUGCGUCCCAGAAUGUGUACCAGUGCAGAUACCAUAUGUACAUGUCUGCGCCUGAUGGCAGAUACAAGAAGCAUACUCUCCAAGGGGAAUAGUGAGUACGUUAUGCUUCUGAGUAGCAUCAAUGCUGCCAAUCUAAAUCUAAACUCCUCAAAACCAGGAGUGAAGACCACAAAACCUACCAUACAUUAAUCAGACCGGUCUGGACUCUGGAUUAAUCAAUCCAUCAUAAUGAUCUCUAUUCAUACCUUUAUACUAUUAGAAGAGUUUAUAACAAUAUAACUUCAAAUUUGAUUUGUUUACUUUGAUUUUACUAUGUGUUGUCAGGCACACAAAUAUAAAUAAAUUUUAAGUCAUUAUUACAAAAAAAAACUAAUAGUAGUGUCAGUUAUAAAAAUGUUUAUUACAAAAAAAAACUAAUAGCAUUUGUAAAUGAUGGAAGGAAAAAAAAUAAAGAGUACCUCAAUUCCAUCUCGGUUAAUUUUGUAGAUUUUGAGAUGAGUGCAUUUUUUGAACAAGAGAAAUGUUAAAGUGUGAGAUAAAUCAUGGUGAAGAGAAAAAAAUGAAAAAACGAGAGGAAGAAAAACUCACGCAAUGAUCAAAUUGUAAUACUCAUUACUGGUUAAAUUUCUCAUCAUCUUUACUAGUAAACUUACUGAUUCAAAUAAGGCUCCAAACUUUUUCAUCAUUUUUUAGCUUCUCGAGAUUUUUUGGAACCUGCGUAAAUUUCAAUUGAUUAAUAUUUGAUGCGAAAGGAUCUGAACGAUGGAGAGAAAAGCUUCUUGCAAUCUUCUGGUGACUGGUGAAAAUUUCGCGAGAAUGAUAAAUUAAAAUUACUCUAUAAAUUGAAAAUCAAAAGGCGAAUACAAAUCGUUUAGUUUGUUUUGUAAAGUAAUGGUCUUUCAAAAGUUGGCCCAGCGAAAGAUAAUUGGCCCACUGGGACCCGAUCAAAACUAGAUCAAGCACAUUAAAACAUUUUUUUUUCAUUUUAUAACUGACGAUUAACCGUAAAUUGAAUUGCAUUAGUUCUGAACCAAUCUAAAUCUAAACUCCUCAAAACUAGGAAUGAAGACCACGAAAUCUACCAUACAUUAAUCAGACCGGUCGGGGCUCUGGAUUUAUCAAUCCAUCGUAAUGAUCUUUAUUCAUACCUUUGUACUAUCAGAAGAUUUUAUAACAUUGUAAACUUCAAAAUUUGAUUUGUUUACUUUGAUUUUACUGUGUGUUGUGAGGCAUACAAAUAUAAAUAAAUUUGAAGCCAUUAUUUAAAAAAAAAAUACUAAUAGUAGUGUCAGUUAUUUAAAUGUUUAUUUGCUGUUUGUUUAUCUGUCGUUGUUUUGGAGAUGAGAGGUGGCAACUCCCAAUAUCUUUUUGGGGUCAUCUUCAAUGUCCUCUCAGAUCUCAAUUAUUUGAGUUUUUAAAGUCAUCUUUGAUACUUUCUUCUUCUCUUUUUGGGUUCAUAUUUAAAUUUUUUUUUUUUUUUUGUCAACUUCGUUUCAUAUCAAAUCAAAUACAAGUAAAUAUAGUCUAUUAUACAAUGUUCAAGGUGUCCCUUGAGAACCCGAACAUGCGGUAAACAAAAUAAUAUUACCGUGUAAUAUGAUUUGCGUAUUUAGUCCACUAGUCUUUUUUCUUAAAUAUGUCCGGUAGUUUUUAUAAGGUGCAAUAUGUGUCAAAUAUAAAAAGAGUUAUGUAAGUUGCCUACUUUAAUCGAAGUUAGGAACAUUAUUUAAGUUUUAUAAAUAAGAUUGGGUGCAAAUAGUUAUACAAUUAGAGUAAUAAAAUAUAAUGAAAUUAUGCAUUCUUCUAAUAUUUCACCAUUUUAAAUGAAACACGGCACUUUGAAAAUUCAUAAGAAAUUGUUCAUCUAUUAUAUUCAAGAUGAGCGAUUUGAACUAAAUAUAUAUUUGUUAUCAAUAACAUGUAUUGCAUGGAUUUAAAUCUGGAUAACAACACAUCGAUGCAUAUACACUAAAAACAACACAUCGAUGCAUAUAAACUAGCAAAAUCCUACAUAUCACACUAUAGCAUUUUCUUAUAUAGUUCGUAUUUAAAUUAUAAACUGUUAAAAAAAAAAAUUGACUCGAAAUAUAUUUUAAAAUUGACCCGAAAUGUGUUUUAAAAAAAGUUAAAAUAUGUUUUUGAAAAAAGUUCAAAUAUGUUGUCCUCGUAGUUAUCCUCGAACCCUUUGAUUCGAUUGUUUUAGAAUUUAUAAUGCACUUAGGUAGUCAACAAAGCUGGAUUAAUUAAUUAAAUUCGUAGGCCGUUGGAUACUAACACUGAUGAUGCGCAUAAUCCUAUUCUAGUGGAUAAAUAAUUAUAUAUAAAAAAUUAAUUUGUUACACUCACUAGGGGCACAAUAAUGCAAUUUGUCACUACAAUUGAUUUAAAAUAUUAAUAUAUAACUUAGUAAUCAUAUCACUCAACUAAUCACCAACAAUGUAUUUUUUGACAACGUCCCCUAGCACAAAGCUAGAUGUGAAUGUGAUACAUACAAAAAAAACAUACGAUUUAUUUCUGAUAAACAUUUUUUCACCAUACUAUACGUUUAUAUCUAUAUAUAUAUAUAAUAUAAUACAGUGCUAACUAAAACACUAAAUUAUUUAUUACAAGAAGAUUAACGGUAAGAUCAAUUAAAUACACAAAAGUUAACAAAACGACCGAGUCUAGAAAAAAAAAGAAAAAAGUUUAUUCUCCCCUCAAUGAUUUAUUGCCAUUUGAAAAUGUUUUAAAAGCUUAUAUUUAUUUUUGGGAAUUGUUGUGUUGAUAAGCACAUGGAACACCACGAUAAGCACACAUAUAAAAAUUGUUUAAUUUGUAUGUAGAUGAACCCUAUUAAUUAAUAAUUAGAUAGAGAAAUAGUGGGGAUCAGGUGGUAUCUAGUUCAGGCUCGUUCUCUUUUCUCAUUCACUCACCCACGAACCUUCCCAUUAACCAAUCUUCUUCUUCUUACAUAAACACCUCUCAUUCCCACCGUUUCCAAAAAGAGAAAGCUUUCACAAAAACACAGAAAAAACACAAACUUGGUCCAAUCUUUUGAGGAAGAAAAGAGAUUUAGUUGAUAAUAUUGUGAAAAUGGGGGAGCUUUUGUGUUGUCUACCAUUGAAUUCACCAAUCUCUUCGUCUCGAUUCAUUGUUGCUUAUCUCAAAAGGUACUUUCUGGGUUCAGAUUCUUAGGGUUCUUCUUAAAAGUCUGUUUUUUUUUUAAUUGGGGUCUGAUACUUUGGAUGUAAUUGCAAAAAAGGAAGAUUUUUUAAUUUCGAUAUGUAUAUUUCUCGGAUGGGUUUGAGUCGGAGUUUCCCGCCGCUGUUUGGGGGAUUUCGGGAAAUUCUAGGGUUAGGGUUGGAUAUUGUGUUUCUCUAGCAGUCUUCCCACUUUUAAAUCUCUUCAUCUCUCUCCUUUCCUGAGAUUGAAAGAGGUUUCUUUUGCGUUCCUGGAUUCGAGGUUUUGGAUCUUAAUCGAUAUGUGGGUUAAUUGGGAGAUCUGGGAUUUGGGAGAUCUUGUGGAGGAUUGAAGAUAAUUGAAGUAAAGCUCAUAGAUUUAAGAAUGGAGAAGAAGUGAAAGGUGAAGUCUUUUUUUUUUUUUUGUGAGAUGAAAGGUUCAAUUCUCACCGUUUUGUCAAUGGAGAAUCAUCAUCCUUCAACGCUUUUAUCAAUGGAUUCUAGUGGUUCAUCUCAUGAAGAACUUGAUCUGGAGAUGAACAAUGGUAAUAGGCAAAUCACACUUUACAAUCCACCAGACAUCAAUCUGCCUUUGUCUGUUGGACGAAGCUCUCCUUCAUGGAACUUGGAUUCUUGUGAUAACAUUUUGGAUGUUGGUCUUAGCUCUCAUGUCUAUGAGACCGAGACGUUUCUCAAUGUGGUUCCGAGUAAAGUAGCUAAGAAAUGCUUGAAACGAGGGGAUAGUAUGUGGGGAGCUUGGUUUUUCUUUAGCUUCUACUUCAAACCGGCGUUGAAUGAGAAAUCGAAUUCUAAGGUCAUUAGGGAAACUAGUAAUGGAGGAGGAGGAUGUUUUACUGGGUUUGAUAAAUCUGAUCUCAAGCUCGAUGUUUUUCUUGUUCAGCAUGAUAUGGAGAACAUGUAUAUGUGGGCUUUUAAGGAUAAACCUGAGAAUGCGCUUGGUAAAAUGCAGUUGAGAAGUUAUAUGAAUGGGCAUUCUCGUCAAGGUGAGCGUCCCUUUCCGUUUAGCGCCGAGAAAGGGUUUGUUCGGUCUCACAGAAUGCAGAGGAAGCAUUACAGGGGACUCUCUAAUCCUCAGUGUCUUCACGGGAUUGAGUUUGUGGCUUCGCCGAGUUUGUUUGGUGUCAGUGAAGAAGAUAAGAAGAGAUGGAUGGAGCUGACGGGUCGGGAUUUGAAGUUCACUAUUCCUCCUGAUGCUAGUGAUUUCGGUUCAUGGAGAAAUCUUCCCAACACAGAUAUCGAGCUAGAGAGACCAGCUCAUGUUACAAAACCGGCACAGAAUAACACCAAGAAGAUUCUCAGCGGCUCGGGCUUACAUUUGACAAGCAAUGCGUCUUUCAGUAGCAAUGGGGACUCGUCAGAUCAAUCUCCAGGAGGAGUUAUCAACAACAAGAAGAGAAAAGAGUUCCUAUCUCCGGGAAGCAGCGAAGAAGAAUGUUGUUUAACUGUUAACAACAUCGAGACCCACCACGCCAAGGACCCGCCCAGUUGGGUAAACGACUUCACUGGAGUGAUGAAGAACAGCUGCGGACCCGUAACUGCAGCAAAAACCGUCUACGAGGACGAAGAAGCUUAUCUAGUCGUAAUUACUCUACCAUUUGUUGAUUUGAACACCGUGAAGGUUUCAUGGAGGAACAAUAUCACAAAUGGAAUCGUGAAGGUCACGGGAAUGAGCACUUCUAGAGUUUCGUUUGUGAAGAGACGGGACCGGACUUUCAAGCUGGUUGAUCAGACGGCUGAGCAUUGUCCUCCAGGGGAAUUCAUGAGGGAGAUACAGUUGCCAAAUCGGAUUCCGGAAGAAGCAAACAUCGAAGCAUAUUUUGAUGGGACUGAACCAGUUUUAGAGAUUGUGGUUCCAAAAUUGAGAGGAGGAGUGGAGGAAGAACACGAGGUUAGAGUUUGUCUACGGUCACACCACCUCGGAUAAAAGAUGCAACCAUGUUUUAAGUGUUUGUAGAAGCAUUUUGUUGUGUACAAUGGGAAAAAUAAGCAAAAGCAGAAGUGCUGUUUUUUAAGUAAUAACUUUUUUCACUUUAGUUUUUUUUCUUCUGAGCAAGUUGUAUUUAACCAUAAUUUUAUUUGAUUAGUAACACUAUUUUAUUUAUAAAAAGGCUAAAUUGCCUACAACUAAAAAUAUUAUUAUACAAAGGUUUUCCUAUGUAAAUAAAGUAAAACAUAUGUUAUGAUCAUCAAACAUGAUGUAGUUUUACUUUUUUUAUCGUCUCUCAUUUUUUGGUAGUUUAAUCCCAUUUCUUCGAAGCUUUGUGAAAAAUUCAACACACUUAUGUGAAUCUGACAUGUAAAGAAAUUUUCAUAAAGAGAGCUUUCUACCAAGUUUUUAAGAGAAAGGGUCACCAAUGACCAACUAGUAGAGAGAAAGUACUUAGAUCAGAGAAAAAGUAGAACAUAAAAUCCAACACUAAAUAGAGAGUUCAAAUAAAAAAAACAAUAACAAAGAGAACACUUAGUCGACUUCCUCGAUCUUGGGACCAGCCCCACCUGAGGCAGGAGGAGCAUCAUCUUCGUCCAUUCCAGCAGCUCCAGGACCACCAGCUUCACCACCAGCUCCUCCUUGAUACAUCUUAGCGAUGAUCGGAUUGCAAACACUCUCCAACUCCUUCAUCUUGUCUUCAAACUCGUCAGCUUCAGCCAAUUGGUUACCAUCUAGCCAUUGAAUUGCUUCCUCAAUCGAGUCCUCAACCUUCUUCUUGUCUGCCGCCGGAAGCUUCUCACCGAUCUUCUCGUCACGGAUUGUGUUCCUCAUGUUGUAAGCGUAGUUCUCAAGAGCGUUCUUGGCCUCAACCUUCUUCUUGUGCUCCUCAUCCUCAGACUUGUACUUCUCAGCUUCUUGGACCAUCUUCUCAAUAUCCUCUUUAGACAAACGACCCUUGUCAUUAGUGAUAGUGAUCUUGUUCUUUUUUCCAGUGGUCUUGUCCUCAGCAGAGACAUUAAGGAUACCAUUGGCGUCAAUGUCAAAGCAGACAGUGAUCUGAGGGACACCUCGUGGGGCAGGAGGGAUUCCAGAAAGCUCGAAUUUGCCGAGGAGGUUGUUGUCCUUGGUUCUAGCCCUCUCACCUUCAAAAACUUGGAUCAAAACGCCAGGCUGGUUGUCUGAAUAAGUUGAGAAGACCUGUUCCUUCUUGGUUGGAAUUGUUGUGUUUCUUUGAAUCAAAGUGGUCAUGACACCACCAGCAGUUUCAAGACCAAGGGAGAGAGGAGUGACAUCGAGCAAUAGAAGAUCUUGGACCUUCUCGUUUCCUUCACCACUUAGGAUCGCAGCCUGAACAGCUGCACCGUAAGCUACAGCCUCAUCAGGGUUGAUAGACUUGCAAAGCUCUUUGCCGUUGAAGAAGUCCUGAAGCAAUUGCUGAACCUUAGGGAUACGGGUGGAUCCACCAACAAGGACAAUAUCGUGAACAGUGCUCUUGUCCAUCUUAGCAUCACGAAGACACUUCUCAACAGGCUCCAUACACUUCCUAAAGAGAUCCAUGUUCAUCUCUUCGAAUCUAGCACGGGUGAUUGGAGAAUAGAAGUCAGCUCCAUCAAACAAAGAGUCAAUCUCAAUGGUCGUCUGCGCGGUGGAAGAAAGAGUCCUCUUUGCUCUCUCACAAGCUGUUCUCAAUCUCCUGAGAGCUCUCGGGUUACCGGUGAUGUCCUUCUUGUUCUUCCUCUUAAACUCUUGCACAAAGUGGUUAACCAUUCUGUUGUCAAAAUCUUCACCACCAAGAUGAGUAUCACCAGCUGUUGCCUUGACCUCAAAGAUACCUUCUUCAAUGGUAAGAAGAGAGACAUCAAAAGUACCACCACCAAGAUCAAAGAUCAAGACAUUCUUCUCUCCAACACUUGUGGCCUUUUUGUCAAGACCAUAAGCAAUAGCAGCAGCGGUGGGCUCGUUGAUAAUACGCAAAACAUUCAAACCAGCAAUCACACCAGCAUCCUUUGUGGCUUGACGUUGAGAGUCAUUGAAGUAAGCAGGGACAGUAACCACAGCGUUCUUGACCGUAGUGCCAAGGAAAGCUUCAGCGAUCUCACGCAUCUUAAUAAGAACCAUGGAAGAGAUUUCUUCAGCAGCGAAUUGUUUCUCUUCUCCCUUGUAUUCGACGACAAUCAUUGGUUUCUCUGCAGUUCCGGAGAUGAUCUUGAAAGGCCAUAACUGUCUGUCACUUUGGACCGAUGCGUCACUGUAUCUACGACCAAUCAACCUCUUUGCAUCUGUCACAAUUAGCAAAAAAUAAAACAGAGUUUAGUCAACAAAACAAUUCCAGACCAAAACAUCAACUUCAUCUAAAAUUCUUUGUUCAAACUAAUUAAAAACCCUAAAUCCAACAAACUCACAUGAACAGUUCAUAAUCAGCUUAAGGGUACCGUAUAACGCAAACAAGUGAUUCAAAAACGUCUAAGAUCGUCCUAUAAACCCUAAAAAUCGUACUUUAACUCAUAAUACCAACCAACCAGAGUAUAAGAUGAGAUAUACAUACCGAAAACAGUGUUAACCGGGUUCAUAGCGACCUGGUUCUUAGCAGCAUCACCGAUCAACCUCUCAGAGUCGGUGAAAGCAACGUACGACGGAGUAGUUCUGUUUCCUUGAUCAUUAGCGAUGAUCUCAACACGGUCGUGUUGCCAUACUCCGACGCAAGAGUACGUCGUACCAAGAUCGAUACCGAUCGCAGGACCUUCUCCUUUACCAGCCAUUAUCACACUAACAGAGAAAAAGCUUGAAAAAAGUUUUAGGGCAGCGAAGCGAAAGUUUAGAGCUAGGUUUUUAGGUUUGUGAAGAAAGAGCGUCCAAGUCUUGGUUUUUAUAAGGCUGAGACUAAUGGUUCCAGAAUGUUCCGGGAUUGUAUUUUUAACCGUUGAUUAUGUUUGAGAUUGAUCUGACGGUGUUUAAGUGAUAGAUUCCUUUUCCAAAUCCUAGGCAAAUUUGUUCCAGGAAAAAAACAAGGAAAAAAGUGAUAUUGUCCCAAAACGGAAAAGCGCGUGUUGAAAAUUGGAAAACUGCUCUAACGUUCAUAUGUGGGGUCGGCUUAUUAAUUGACACGUAAGAUUUCUUGGCAGUGGUAAUGGGCCUAGUAAGAAUUAAGAAAUAAUAAAGGCCGGUCAUUGGCUGUGGGCCGUGGUGAGGACUUUCUUUUAAUUGAUUGGGCAUAGAUAGAACUUAGAAGAGAAGCUACUCAUUUUAAUUUGUCUUUGAGUGAAAACAAAACUUUCGCUAUACGUUACUUGCAAAUUAAGAAACAUGUAUGUUUGAUUUUGCAAUUUUUUACUUGAUAAAAAUAUUAAAAUAGAGAAGCAUACAACUUUUACAAUGACAAAACAUGGUUUAUGGAACUUUUACAAUGACAGAUUUCAUGAUAUUUUAUGGAAUACGAACUUGAAAUUGUUGGAGAAAAUAUUAAAAAUUGCAACAACAUUAAUCCGUGAACUUUUGAAUUUCUUAUUGGAUAUAGUUUUGUGAGUAAACGAACAAUAAAAAUGAGUGUUCUUAUGAUAUUUUUACUUUUGGGUUGAGGUCAAGAUAUUGGUUUACAUUUUGAUGUUUUUGACCUUCUUAAAACUUAUAAAAGCCUUACCACGUAUGGGAAAAUACUCAAACAACAAAACAUGUACCACGUACGAGACUUGGAGGGGUACACUAAAACCAUAAAGAAAUUCAGAGAGGGAAUAUAGAAACUUUUAAUUUUAUCCGUCAUCGUAGCUGUGCUGGGAUCAAACCAGCCAUUGUUCAAAAAAGUACUAACCAAAAAACACCACAAAAUGGGCUCCAUUAAAAAAGCCCAACAUAAAAAGUCUUAAGAGAUCCAAAAUAAGCAAGUAAAAAGAUAGAGAUAGGAGAAAGAGAGAGGUCACGAUCCAACAGAUUAGUCGACCUCCUCGAUCUUAGGUCCAGCACCGCCUGAAGCAGGAGGAGCAUCAUCGUCCAUACCAGAGGCACCUGGACCGGCUUCACCACCAGCUCCUUGAUACAUCUUGGCAAUGAUUGGGUUGCAGAUGCUCUCCAAUUCCUUCAUCUUGUCUUCAAACUCAUCAGCCUCAGCCAACUGGUUACCCUCCAGCCAUUGAAUCGCCUGCUCAAUAGAGUCCUCGAUCUUCUUCUUGUCUGCUGCGGGAAGCUUCUCACCAAUCUUCUCGUCUUGAAUGGUGUUCCUCAUGUUGUAAGCGUAGUUCUCAAGAGCAUUCUUGGCUUCAACCUUCUUCUUGUGCUCCUCAUCUUCGGACUUGUACUUCUCAGCCUCUUGAACCAUCUUCUCAAUCUCAUCCUUCGAGAGACGACCCUUGUCAUUGGUGAUGGUGAUCUUGUUCUUCUGUCCAGUGGUCUUGUCCUCAGCAGAGACAUUGAGGAUACCAUUGGCAUCAAUGUCAAAGCAGACUGUGAUCUGAGGGACACCACGAGGAGCCGGAGGGAUUCCGGAGAGCUCGAAUUUACCGAGAAGGUUGUUGUCCUUGGUUCUGGCUCUCUCUCCUUCGUACACCUGGAUCAACACACCGGGUUGGUUGUCUGAGUAGGUGGAGAAGACCUGUUCCUUCUUGGUUGGGAUGGUUGUGUUUCUUGGGAUCAAAGUGGUCAUGACACCACCGGCAGUUUCCAAACCAAGGGAGAGAGGAGUAACAUCGAGCAAUAGAAGAUCUUGGACCUUCUCGUUUCCUUCACCACUGAGAAUAGCUCCCUGGACGGCAGCACCGUAGGCAACAGCCUCAUCAGGGUUGAUAGACUUGCAAAGCUCCUUGCCGUUGAAGAAGUCCUGAAGCAAUUGCUGAACCUUAGGGAUACGGGUGGAACCACCAACAAGGACAACAUCGUGAACAGUGCUCUUGUCCAUCUUAGCAUCACGGAGACACUUCUCAACUGGCUCCAUACACUUCCUGAAGAGAUCCAUGUUGAGCUCCUCGAAUCUAGCACGGGUGAUGGUGGAGUAGAAGUCAAUACCCUCGUAUAGAGAGUCAAUCUCGAUGGUGGUCUGAGCAGUGGAGGAAAGGGUCCUCUUCGCUCUCUCACAGGCAGUUCUCAACCUCCUAAGAGCUCUUGGGUUACCAGUGAUAUCCUUCUUGCUCUUCCUCUUGAACUCUUGAACGAAGUGGUUAACCAUUCUAUUGUCAAAAUCUUCCCCACCAAGAUGGGUGUCUCCAGCAGUUGCCUUGACCUCAAAGAUACCCUCUUCAAUAGUAAGAAGAGAGACAUCAAAAGUACCACCACCAAGGUCGAAGAUAAGAACAUUCUUCUCUCCAACGCUGGUAGCCUUCUUGUCAAGACCAUAGGCAAUAGCGGCAGCUGUCGGCUCGUUGAUGAUUCGCAUAACGUUCAAACCAGCAAUAACUCCAGCAUCCUUUGUAGCUUGGCGCUGAGAGUCGUUGAAGUAAGCAGGAACGGUGACAACAGCGUUCUUGAUAGAGACACCAAGGUAAGCCUCAGCAAUCUCACGCAUCUUAAUGAGAACCAUGGAAGAGAUCUCCUCAGCAGCGAACAUCUUCUCUUCACCCUUGUAUUCGACGUAGAUCAUUGGCUUGUCGGCGGGUCCUGGUUGAAUCUUGAAUGGCCACAAUUUCAUGUCACUCUGGACAGAGCUGUCAGAGAAACGACGACCGAUCAACCUCUUAGCAUCUGCAACAACCAAAAAAAAUGAACAAAUUAAGUAACCUGAUAAUAAUUAAACAAGCAAUAAAGAUCUGAAGCAUAAUCAACAAAAAUAGUAAUAAAUAUCUGACACGACUUACCAAUUCAAAAAAAUCAACAGCUAUUACUAGUCCAAGCAAGAACUUACUAAAAUAAGCAUAGUUGAAUCAAUAUAAACAGGAUCUAACCAAUUAGAUCUAUUGAUGAAACCCUAAAUCCAACAUAUUCAAUUGUUUUCCAGAUCAUAGAUCUAACUACAACACGACUAUAGAUCUAUAUACGAUGAACUAGAUCUAGAUUUCAAGUAUAAGAGAGCUAUGAAAACGAGAUACGUACCGAAAACGGUGUUAACAGGGUUCAUGGCGACCUGGUUCUUAGCGGCAUCACCGAUCAACCUCUCGGAGUCGGUGAAAGCGACGUAAGACGGCGUGGUUCUGUUUCCUUGAUCAUUAGCAAUGAUCUCAACACGGUCGUGUUGCCAUACUCCGACGCAAGAGUAAGUAGUACCAAGAUCGAUACCGAUAGCUGGUCCUUCUCCUUUACCCGACAUUUUUUAUCGGAAGAUUUGGAGCUACAAGAGAUCUAAGAACAGAGACUGAGAAA